rnacentral:lncRNA from 1 species
UUGGUUUUUAGCCAGAUCAAGAAAUCGGACGAAUCAAAAUUAGUCUUCUAUUCAUAACAAAGAUACCUUUAUGCGUGGCUUCCCCAUUUCCCAAAGCUGCAGUGCCAUGUCUCGUCAAUUUUCCACAAAUACACACAAACAACAACUGACUUUUCUCUUCUCUCCUUCUCUCCUCUACAAUCACCAAACGGAAAGCCUAUCUGCACCUCCAUAGCAACCGCCAUCUGCCACCACUGAAAGGAUCCAGCCCCAAAUUCGUCAUGCCAGCUCGCGAAUCCAAGAAAGGGAGAAGGCUCAUCCCCAAAUUUGUGUAAAAAAACAGAAAAUCUUUAGAUCCGUCAUUAAUGGCUUCCAAGUUGGGGUUUUUCAGAAGUUUGGAGGUUCGAACUUUGAAUUCCCUCCAUGUUUUCCCAAAUUUGUUUCAAAUCCGGACUUUGAAGUCUGGAUUUUGGCUAUAAAUAGCCGGAUUACCAUGACCAAAGGGAAGGAAGAAAAAAAGGAAAAAAAAAAGAAAGCAAAAAUCGAGUGAAGGCAAUAACAGGGUUGAAGAUCGGUGAGAAAGGGCUGAAUUUCGUGAGAAAAAGAAAGGAAAAUUCGAGUUGCUGGAAUCGUUGGUUUCUUUCUCUUGAUUUUUUUCAUUUUCCGUCCAAAUUUCAUGUCCCGAAGUUGAGUUUGGAAGACGGAAUACUCGACGGAAAACCCGAGUUUCCUGCACCGCACAAGGUGCGAAUCUGCCUCCCUUUCUUCUUUUCUUGCUUUCGACCAUUUUUUGUAAGUUUCAUUCUGGCUCUGUGAAUGUGAAAAAAUGUAAAAGCUGUGGUAAUCCGAAAUUAUCCGUUGCCGCUGUUCUGGGUUCUGUGGAUAUUUAGAAAAAGAGAAAACAAAAACAAAUAAGUUUUAGUGAUAUUUGACGAGAUGAAUAAGGGACCCAUUUUUAGUUGGACGAUCCGGAUGAUAUCGUUAGGCUUGCAGCAACAAUGUUUCAGUUCUCUUGUUUUAUUAACAAUGUGAUUUUCAAAGUUACUCUCGUAGUCUGUUGGGAUGGUUAUUGCCUAUGAUACAACUUUGUUAUUCCGUGUACUUGGUGUAAAGGAGAUUACCUAACCUUCUGAAACAGAAUUGUAUACGAGUGUCCUAUGUUUUCUUAUUUUCUUCAAGUUUGGGUCAUAACUUUAUUGUUUUGUUUUCAGGAUACCAUAUUUCAAAAAGGGGGAGAAUAUAAUCCCGUCGAUAUCUAUUUUGAGGUGUCGUUGUUUUAAAGUUUGUCUCGGACUAAGUUCGAAAAAUUUCGGUGGACCAAAUUUUACUUACGUUGCAUGUUCUUAUGGUACUUUUGUACAACUGUGAGUUCUUUUAUGUUAAUAGUCGCUUGGAAACUACCCCCAACUAGUUGUCAUGUGAAUAAGUUGCCUGAGCAAUUAAACUUGCAUUCUGAACCUCUGUUUUGUGCAUUGUAUGUCACUAUUAAGUGUAGUCAACAUUUGUUAGCGCACCGAUUUCGGUUCAAGCAUAAAUAUAUGCGUGGGCUGCUGCCGUCUAAAGAUUAGUGAAUUAUGGUCUUAUGUUGAUAUAAGAUUCUGACUAUUCAAUUUCUAACAAGCUUGAAAGUUCUAAUCUUGAUAACCUCGUCUAAAUUUUCACUUCUUACUUCUAUUGGUGAGCCUUGAAUAAAAUAGGGGGGUUUAAUUUGAUUUAUGUUGCAGUGUUUCCCGUCUUUGAAUAAAUUAACUUGGAAUUGCUUGUAAUUUUCUUUAGAAUAGAAUGAUAAUAUUUUUAAGUGGCUUUGAGAUAUUAUUGACUAUAAGAUUCAUAUGAACUUUGCUUGCUAAAUGUUGCUCCACUUAAGUAACAAUCUGUCAGGUGCACGUUUGAGCUCUUUUUUUAGUGUCUCGCUUAAUCACUGCACGAAAGUCAAAAUUAUUUGGUCAUGCAACACGUUCUCUUUGCCACUCAUUUAUUUCACGCAAAUUUGAUUUCUAAUCCUAUCCUUUACUUUAUUUUAUAUGUGAACUGGGGAGUUGGAGUUCCGCAACGGAACUCGUUCUAACUCAAGCAUCAGGUUAAAUGCUACUAGGAUCACAGAGCUUCGGAGUCGCGCAUUAGAAGCCAAAGCUCCUUGAUGGGGUCUAGUAUCUCUUAUUUUAUUUCGAUUUAAUUUAUACUUGUCGUGUGAAGUUUUAGAAUGAUAUUAAUUCUUGUUACUGAAUUGUUUAGAUAACCUUACUUUAUUAUUAAUUUUAUGUUGUCUUAUUACUCGUCAAUCCUUUAGAAGUAAGUUUUUAUACUUUGAAUUUCGCAAAUAACACGGGGAUAUCACCAAGGAAAAUAUAUUUUUAUCAUAAUUGGUCAACCUUUUGAAAACUCAUUACAGAUAUCUUAAAUGAGAUUCACAUAACAACCUUCAUAUUUUUCUUUAAAACAUAACAAAAGAUAAAUAAAUAAAAUUUUAGUUUUAACUUACUCGAGAGAGUUAUCAAAAUUUCAGAUAUUUUCAAAAGAGUUUAUUCAUCAAACUUUAACCCUUUUUAGUACAUAGCUUUAAUGUUUCAAGCUAUAUUAUAUAUUUUUAAUGUUUUUUGGUUUUCAGAUUUUCGAGAGAUUAAAAAAUACGAGGUAUAUACAUUCUUUCGCUACCGCGCACAAAGUACAUCGCAUUAUUUUCACAACUGUUUUACAUCAUAUCUAUUAUUACCAUUAUUAUUCACACCAUAAUAUUCAAUUAUUAUCAUUAUUAUUAUAUUAUCAUCAUUAUGAAUACUACUGUUAUUACCAUUAUUAUUACUUUAUUGUUAUUAUCUCAAUUUUGUUACGCUCACAUUCUUCUUUUCACUUAUUUAUAAUCUAAGUCUAUUUAAGUUUUUUACAAAUUAAUUAAAAAUUUACAUCUUUUUCGUACUUUCAAAUAUAUUCAUAUUCACACUGUCUUAAAUUAUUCCAUGCUUUAAAUAUUUUUAUAAAUUUUAUUUACCCAUUCAAUUUUAUACAUGUAACGACAAUAAACUUUUCUCUUUAUCUUUAUCCAAAUCAUAAAAAAAUAAAAAAUUAUUUUUCAUAUCGUAAAAUAUUCAUGUAACAUAUGUUUGCAUGGUAGCGUCAUGUUUUUUAUACCUUAAAUUUUCUUUCUUUUAUAUAAAAUAACAAGUAGAAAAGAAUGAUGAAAGUUCUCUUAUCACCAUUUUCGCAAUUAAAUAAAAGUAGUGGUUUUUCCUAAACUAAGCGUAAGGACUAUCCUCGGAUAGGCUCUGAGGGGUGCCUAACACCUUCCCCUCGAGUAAGAAAAAUCCUUACUCAGAAUCUCUAAAUAUUUUCAAAAGAUCAAAACAGAGUUUUCGAGAUAAAAAUGGUUUUUUCCUAAUUUUCCUAAAAAGUUAGAUGGCGACUCUAAAAAAUAUUUUUUCUUUAAUCCCAAGAGUCACGACAUAGGCCACCAUAUGCUGUGUGCUGUUUUGACCGUUUUGAAAUAGGGCGUGACACUACUAAGUCGUACCCAAAUCAUGUGCUAGUAAGCCUGAGUCGUAUGAUAGCUAGAGAGUUUAAAACCCAAGAAAUUUCUAAGGGUCAAACUCAGGGUGUUUCCUUUCUCCCCACUUGGGUCAUUCAUCCUCGAAUGAUGGGUAAAGGAAAGUACAAACACGAUUUACACCCCACCACCUCAAAUCUAACGUUUAACUAAGUUAGAACACAAAGAUGCAAGGAAGUCAAUAUUUCAUUUAACAAGUUUGAGAACAAAAGUAUGACGAAGAACACAUACUUUUCUCUCGAAUUUCUGAAGAAGAAAACCAGAGUGGAUACUUAGACUUCAUGUCCUCUUCUGCUUCCCAAGUAGCUUCUUCAACCUUAUGGUUCCUCCAAAUAACCUUGACCGAAGAUAUAUCCUUGGUCCUCAACCGGCGAACUUAUCGAUCCAAGAUCUCAACCGAGACCUCCCCAUAAGACAAAGAAUCCGAAAUACCAAUAUCCUUGACAAACACAAUUUGAGACGUAUCACCCAUACACUUUCUCAACAUAGAGACCUGGAAUAUUAGGCGAAUGGAGAUCAAACUAGAAGGAAUCUCCAAAUCAUACACAAUAUUGCACACCUUUCUCAAAACCGAGUACGAACCAAUAUAUCGGGGGCUGAACUUCCCUUUUUUACCAAACCGCAUCACUUCGUUUAUAGGAGAUACCUUCAAGAACACCCUAUCCCUAACCUCAAACUCUAAGUCUCUUCACCUCACAUCCGGAUAGUACUUUUGGUGAAUUUUGGUAACCUUAAGUCUAUCCCGAAUUACCUUCACCUUCUCCAUGGCUUAGUGAACCAAAUCCAGACUAAUCAUCUCUGCCUCACCACCCUCGAACCACCCAAUAGGAGACCUAUACCUCCUACCAUAUAACACUUCAAAUGGAGCCAUCCCAACAUUAGAGUAGUAGCUAUUAUUAUAGGCAAACUCCACAAGAGGUAAAUGCUCAACCUAACUACCACCAUAGUUAAUCACACAAACACGAAACAUGUCCUCCAAUGUCUAAAUAGUCUUUUCUGCUUGCCCAUCCAAGUGUUGGUGGAAAGAAGUGCUCAUACUAACCUUAGUCCCUAACCCUUUCUAACACGAUUGCCAAAAGUGAGAUGUAAACUCCAUACCACAAUUAGAGAUGAUAGAAACAGGUACCCCAUGCAACUUCAUAAUCUCAUAGAGAUACAACCUCACAUAAUCCUCAAUCGAGAAGUUAGUCCUUACUGGAAAGAAGUAAGCAGACUUUGUCAUCCUAUCCAUGAUGACCCAAACCAAAUCAAACUGAUUUCGAGAUCGAGAAAGACUAACAACGAAAUUCAUGUUGAUCACUUUCCACUUCCACUCUGGCAACUCAAUUUCUUGAUCCAAUCCCUCGGGCCUCAUGUGCUUAACUUUCACUUGUUGACCCACCAUAAACUCGGCCACAAAAUUUAUCAAAGCCCUCUCCAUAUUGUUACACCAAUACAUGUCCUUGAGGUCAUGAUACAUUUUCGUCAAACCAGGAUUAACAACCUAGCGUGACUCAUGCGCCUCAGCCAAGAUCCUCUCUCGAAACCAUCAACAUCGGGAAUGCAUAAGCUCCCUUGAUAUCGCAAAGUACCAUCACUACUAAUCUCGAAGGUCGUUACCUUCUUUGCAUCAACAUCACCCUUGAUCCCUAUCAAGACAGGAUCUAACAUUUGCUUCUUCUUGAUUUUAGUCGCCAGAGAUGAUUGCGCCAAUUUCUAAAUGAACACACCACCAUCCUCAGAGUCUAAGAAACAAACUCCAAGGUUAGCUAAACGACGAAUGUCCAUCACCAACUCCCAUUUCUCCUUAUCCACAUAAGCUAGACAUCCCAUGGAUAACCUUCUAAGAGCAUCGGCAACCACAUUACCUUUAACUGGAUAGUAGUGAAGAUUCAUGACGUAAUCCUUAAGAGGAUCAAGCCAUCUCUUUUGCUUGAGGUUAAGCUCUUUUUGAGUAAACACAUACUGUAGGCUCUUAUGAUUAGAAACAAUAUCCAUAUGCACCCCAUGCAAAUAGUGACACCAGGUUUUUAACAUAAACACCACAAAUAACAAUUCUAAAUCAUAAGUUAGAUAAUUCCUCUCAUGUACCUUCAACUGUCUAGAGACAUAAGUUAUCACCUUGUCGUGCUGUAUCAGGGACACAUCAUAAUAAACCACAAACUUAUCAGUACCUUCACGCAACGUCAAAAUCGAAGCCAAAGUUAGCUUAUUCUUCAGCUUCUCAAAACUACUAUCAUAAGCAUCAAACCAUGAGAACUUUACUUUCUUCUAAGUUAACUUAGUAAACAGGCCAGCUAUAGUAAAAAACUUUUCAAAAACCUCCUUUAGUAACCAGCUAAACCAAAGAAGCUCCGAAUAUUGGUUGGAGUCAUGGUUCUAGGAUACUUCUUAACCACUCCACCCUUUUACGGAUCCACCAUGAUCCCUUUAUUAGAAAUGAUAUGACCUAGAACAGUGACAACAGUCAACUAAAAUUCACAUUUUGAAAACUUGGCAUACAACUACUGCUUUUUCAAGGUCUACAACACUAAAUAGAGGUGAUUGACAUAAUCCACCUCAUUCUUAGAGUAUACCAAAAUAUCGUCUAUGAACAGAAUGAUGAACACAUCCAAAAUUUGAUGAAAACCCUAUUUAUUACAUCCAUAAAUGCCGUUAAGGCAUUACUCAAUUCAAAAGACAUAACCAGAAACUCAAAAUGUCCAUACCAGGUACGAAAAACAGUCUUAGGGAUAUCCUCCUCCCUAAUCUUUUACUGAUGAUACUCGAAUCAAAGAUCUAUUUGGAGAAAAACUUAGCACUCUGUAACUGAUCAAACAAAGCAUCUAUCCUUGGAAGAGGAUACUUAUUCUUUACGCUCACCUUAUUCAACUGCCAGUAAUCCAUAAACAUUCGAUGGGAACUAUCCUUUUUAUACACGAACAACACUGGUACACCCCAUGGGGAUACAUUAGGACAUAUAAAACCUUUAUCCAAAAGAUCCUUUAAUUACUCCUUAAGCUUUUUCAACUCAACUGGAGCCAUUCUAUUGGAGGAAUAGAUAUUAGACUAGUGUCUAAAACAAGAUCAAUCCUAAACUCAAUUUCCCUAUCUGGAAGAACACCAGGAAGGUCAUCAGGGAUGACCUUAAGAAAUUCAUUCACCACCGAGAUGGAAUGCAAAGAAGGAGACUCCUCGUUAGAAUCUUUAACCUGGACUAGAUGAUAGAGAUACCCUUUGGAGAUUAAUCUCUAAGCUUUGAAAUAUGAUAUAAACCUCCCUUAGGAGCUAGGGAAUAACCCUUCCUCUCAAUAACUGGCUCAUUAAGGAAUUUAAAGAUAACCUUAUGGGUACGAUAAUCUAAGGAAACAUAGCACAAAUACAACUAAUCCAUCCCCAAUAUGACAUCAAAAUCUACUAUAUCUAAUUCAAACAAAUCCACCAAAGUUUAUUUACUACCAACAGAUACCAUAAACCCCCUAUAAAUGCUUUUAGUAAUCACAGAGUCACCUACUGGGGUAGGAACAAAAAAAGAGUCCAAAACACAAUCCAAACUAAAACCAAAAUGCACAGCCAUAAAUGGGGUCACAUAAGAGAGAGUGGACCCCAAAUUAAGAAACAUUCCAUAUCAUGGGAAAAGAGUUUUAACAUACCAGUCAUGAUAUCAGGCAAUACCUCGGACUUUUAUAGGGUAGUGAGAGCAUAAAGAUGGUUUUGACUAAUGUUAGAGCCAGAUGGUGCACCCUUUGGUACCAGACCUGAAGAAAAUGCAGUAGUAACUUUGUUUUCCCCAGAGGCAACCUUACCAAUAGGAUAAUUUCUAAGUAUAUGCCAGGGAUAACCACAGUCAAAGAACCUAUCCCUUUCCUCAUCAUAGAAACCCUAAUGCAAAUGACAUAGAAUCUAUACGAAGGAUAUGAUGGAGCUAACUGAGCUCCACUAGCUUAAGAUUGGGCACCCUGUGCCCUGAAGUUGUCACCACCAUGGAAAUUCCUAUCACUAGACGAUAUUUGUUAGGGAGUAGCCAUCGAAUAAUUCCAAACAUUUCUCCACUUCUUCUUGGGCCACUUACCACCAUCCCCGCCACUCUAUUAUUGACCACCACUUUGCUAAGAAAAUCUAAACUUCUUUCCCUGCCUCUUCCUAACUCAUCCUACUUUUUCUUCUCUUUCUCUACCUUCUACAUGUAUACCACCAACAUGGAGAUACCCAUGUCCUUGAUUAACAAGGCAGCCUUACUCUCAAGAAUCAACUUAUGAGAUAAUCCUGAAGCAAACUUCAUCAUCUUCUCCCUCAUACAAGAAAUCAACUCUGAAGAAUACCACGAUAACUGGUAAAACUUCAAGGCGUACUCUUUAACUGACAUCUUACCUUGCUUUAGCUUAACAAACUCUUUUGCUUUUACUUCACUUAACUCUUAAGGAAAGAAGUGAUCUAGGAAAGCAUUAGAAAAAUCCUUUUGUAGCGAUGAGUUAGAACCAUCACUCCUUGACUGUUCCUAUUUCUCGUACCUUUGGUAUGCCACAUCCUUCAGCUGGUAGACGACAAACUCCACGCCCUCUAUAUUCGUGGCAACCAUAGCUUAAAAAAUCUUUUCCAUUUUAUCCAAUAAACCUUGAGGAUCCUCCUCUACCUUUACACCCAUAAAGGUCGGAGGUUUCAACAUAAUGAAUUGGUCAACCCUUGUGGCCUCAGAAGAUGGAGUAACAGAAAUACCAAGCUUAGAUUGAGUAGCUGUUAACUGUGCUAACAUGUCAAUGGAAUGACGAAACUAAACAUUCAUUACUUCAACCUAAGGAGUAUGAGAAGGACUAGAGGGAACUGGUGGAACUCUAGAACAAUCUAGAACUGGAACCCUAGACCGAGUAUGGAUCCCAUUAGUAGAGAGUGUACCAUUAACAUUGUCCUCAGUUGAGACAGAGGAGUUUUUGUGAACUUUAAAUCAUUGAGACAUGAUCUAAAAAGUAAACUAAUUGAAAUUACAGAAGAAUUCAGGACUUAGACUUUUUAUCUUGAAAUAGAAAAUAAGAAAGAGAAAUAUUUCUAAAUGUCUUAUAGCCACUCCCUGAUGAGUGUGGCAUAUUAUACACCCUUAAAAGAGACUCUACUCGAUACAACUUUGUAGACUUCUAAUUGACCAUGAACCUAGGUCUCUGGUACUAAUCUGACACAUCCUAAACCAGGGCCUAGUUGUGUUAUGUUCCUCAUGCCCAAUCGAGUUCGGAGACCACCCCAAAUACCCAACCAUAACCACCCCACACCUAAUGUCAGACAAAUUCUAAUUAUAUAAUAUAACAAAAUAGGAGAAUCAUAAAUCAAAUACACUAAAAUAGUGUCAUCCCUAAUACAACUACUAAUGCCAAGGUUGACACCAAUACCGACACCGCCCAUGCCAACCCAAAAUAGUCUCACAAAGCCUUUAUCCAAAAUAAAAACAAUAUCUGGUCAGGACAUGCACGCGACUAUAGGCAAAACACAAAGUAUAAGAAAUAACCAAAGUAUGUAGAGAAGUCCAUAACAUAAAAGGGAGUCUUCUCGAGUAUGGAAACUCACCACUUCAAUCCGAUCAACGUUGUCCCCAAAUCUAAGUUACCAUACAGGAAGAGUAGUAUGGCCGCUUCUUGUAUUGCAUGGUGAUACAACGCUCGAAGAUGGGUUAGUGGGUGAAUUCUAGUAUGUACUCAGGAGUAAGGAUAAAAUAAUGCCAACAUUUAACGCCAAGUAAAUAACCAUAUGCAAUCACAUCCAUAAAUAUAUAUAUACGUACAUACACACAUACAUACAUAAUGCAUGCUGGGAAAGGGAAUCGAGUUUAGCAUUCAUUUAAAAUCUUUAACCUGGGUUUGUGUAUCUUUAUCUUCAUAAUCAACCCAUGGGCUAUAUGGGUCUAAUGUUACCCCCUGAAUGGGCCCUAAUACGUGCAGCCGCACAAAUAAAAGAUAUCACAGGGGCCAAGGAUUCUUGUGCACCCUUCACCCUCUAUGAUACAUAUAUACAAGUAUAACAUAGGGGUUUCCCAUGUAACCCACAAGUAUAUGGUCACCAUGACCAACCUUCACGUCGGCAAACAUGAGUUUCCAGUUUCCGUCCAUUGGACUCACAUCUUCACGUUUAGCUAUCACAUCCUGCCAUUAUUUCCCAAUUAAAACUAUUAGUACACAACCAAACUACCAAUUCCAUGUGUUAAUUACUAAGGCAUUAUGUAGUGGUAUCGUCAUACCGACGAUAGGUUUCAAGCAAUGUCAUUAGCCAACACUUAGGGGAUUCCCAUGUACCCACAUGAUUCCCAAUUAAACCAAAGCCAUGGAUACUAAGGCCUUUUCAAUUCAUUUAAAACCAGUUAAACUAAUUUAGAUUCCAUUACCAAGUUAUACAAUGCAAUAGUUUUAAUAAAAGUCAAAUCAUGCGAUAAAACCAUUCUCAUAGGCAUUUAAUAAACAUGUUAAGGGCAUAUAGUUUCCAAAACCAAAACCAAGUACCAAUUGACCAUUCCCAUGUAAACAUAUGUUCAAACCACCAUUAUAACAUGAAAACUAUGAAUAAAAAAUGGAAAAACAAUAUCCAACCAUUUAUAACCAAAUCAACAUAUAAUUCAAAACAAAACAAUUCCCAUAGUUAAAUCAUGAAAACCAUUCAUUGAAACAAAAAUUUAGUUGAUAUAACAAUGAGGGAGGAGUAACAUCCCUUAGAUAUCAAAGAGUACGAAGAGAAACCACCCCUUAAAGCCUUAAUUAACCACCUUGAAGGAAUCCAUAACCUUUCUUAAAGCAAGAUCCUUGAGAGAGAUUUGAGAAUGUUUAAGUGUUUUUUAUUGAGAAUAAUAUGGUAAUGAAGUCCCAAAAGUGUUUUAAGUCAUGGGAUCAAAAGAGGUUAAGAGGGGAAAUAUCCCUAAAUACCCUCAACUUAAAAGAUAAAAAAUAAAUACAGGUGGGUAUAGUUUGGGCACCUCACACGUACCCCAUCAUACGGGUGGCACCCUAAUGCAUACCCCGAAUAUUACCUCAAGGUCUUGACACUGUUAAUCAUACAAUUUGCCCUACUCUUCUCAUACCCUCUCCAUAUAUCUCAUAUAGAGUUUAGUUAUACUUUGGAUAGUGAAUGACCUACCACAUACUGAUUACUAUAGGACUUAGGCUACUAAGUCAUACCUAUAACUGAUGAUUAGUAAUCCUGAGUCGUAUAAUGGCUAGAGAGUUCAAAAUCAGGAAAUUUCUAAGGGUCAAACUUAGGGUGUUUCAACAACGGUCAGCUUCACUAGGGGUAUUGUGAUGAAAGAAGAAAGCAGUGCUUUAACUGUGGUCAGCUUAGUACGAUGCAAUGAGAUUGACCUGUGGCUAAGGUAUCCACUGGGGCUAAUAAUAUUCUUGUUGACAUUUCUUCAGCUUCUGCACCAAUGGGUGUUACUUCUGAUACUGACCUUGGCCAAAAUGUCUUUACGAUCUUGGCACCCGUUAGAAUUAUGAGGCAUAUCCUGAUGUUAUAACUGGUACAUUAAAGAUUUUCUCUCAAUAUGUGUAUUAUUUUCUUGACCCAGGACUUUCUUAUGUGACCCCUUAUGUGGUUAUGCAUAUUUGGUCCUGAAAGUAUUUUUGACGCUUUUCUCAGAUUCUAGUCCGAUGGGUGAUAUCAUUGUGGCUAAAAAAAUCUAUAGGGGUUGUGUGGUGUCUAUUUGUCAUAAGAAAACCUUGGUGGAUUUAGUAGAUCUUGAUAUGGUAGAUUUUGAUGUGAUCUUGGGGAUGAAUUGGCUUUACUUGUUCUAUGCUUCUUUGGACUGUAGGACCCAAAAGACCAGUUUUUAUUUACCUAAUGAGAUGGUAGUAAAAUAGGAGGGGGGUUCCUUAGUACCCAAGGGAGGAUUAUUUCUUAUCUUAGAGCUCGAAAGUUAAUUUUUGAAGGGUAUCUAUGUCACCUAGUUUGAGUUAAGGAUUUUAGUUCUGAGGGACCUUCCUUUCAAUCUAUCCCUAUGGUUAAUGAGUUUAUUGAGGUGUUUCCCGAUGAUCUUCCUGGAUUCCUCCCGAUAGGGAAGUAGAUUUUAGGAUUGAUCGUCUAUCGAAUACCCAUCCUAUAUCUAUUCCUCUAUAUGGAAUGGCUACAACUGAGUUGAAGGAGCUAAAGAAGCAGUUGAAAGAUCUUCUUGACAAGGGUUUCAUUUGUCCUAGUAUUUCUUUGUGGGGUGGUCCUAUUCUUUCCGUCCGUAAGAAAGAUGGUUUUUUUGGAUAUACAUAGACUAUCAACAGUUGAAUAAGUUUACGAUAAAGAAUAAGUAUCCUCUUCCUAGGAUUGAUGAUCACUUUGACUAGCUCCAAGGCGCUAGAUGCUCCUCUAAGAUUGAUCUCUAUUUGGGCUAUAAUCAGUUGAAAAUUAGGAAGGGUAAUAUUCCCAAGAUUACUUUCCAAACCCGAUAUGGUCACUAUGAGUUUUUGGUUAUGUAAUUUCGUUUGAUUAGUGCACUGGUUGCUUUUAUAAAACUUAUGAAUCGAUUUUUCAAGCAGUUUUGGACAUAUUUGUUAUUUUAUUCAUCGAGGAUAUUUUGGUGUAUUCUAAGAGUAAGGAGGACCAUUCCUAUUACCUAUAAAUUGUGUUGUAGACUCUUAAGGAUCUGAAGUUGUAUGCUAAGUUUACUAAGUAUGAGUUUUUGUUGAAUGCUGUGACUUUUCUCGAUAAUGUUAUUUCUAGUGAGAGGAUCAAGGUGGAUCCAUAGAAAGUAAAGGCGCUUAAGAGGUGUCCUAGACCCAUGACUCCAACUGACAUUUAGAGUUUGUUGCGCUUAGCUGGGUAUUAUAGACGGUUUGUGGAGAGUUUUUCUUCUAUUGCUGCUCCAUUGAGAGAGUUGACUCAAAAUAGGUGAAGUUCUUGUGGAUCGAUGCUUGUGAGGGUAGCUUUGAAAAAUUGAAGUAUAGGCUGGCUUCUGUGCUAGUUAUGACCUUGCCUGAGGGUACUGAUGGAUUUAUGGUGUAUUAUGCUGCGUCCCGCAUGGGACUGAGUUAUGUCUUGAUGCAGCAUGGUAAGGUUGUGGCCUAUGCUUCUAGGUAGCUUAGGGUUUAUGAAAGGAAUUAUUUGACUUAUGAUUUAGAGUUGGAAGAUGUGGUUUUUGCUUUGAAGAUUUGGCUUUAUUAUUUGGAUGGGGUGCAUGUAGACAUCUAUUCAGAUCAUAAGAACUUGCAAUAUGUAUUUACCCAGAAAGAGUUGAAUCUGAGGUAGAGGUGAUGGCUUGAGUUGCUAAAGGAAUAUGAUAUGAGUCUUCUCUACCAUCCAGGUAAAGCUAAUAUACUUAUUGAUAUUUUUAGCAGGUUGUCCAUGGGGAGAUUAUCACUUUUGGAUGAAUAGAAAAGAGGAUUAACAAAGGAUAUUCACUGGUUGGCUAAUUUGGGAUGUUAUCUUUUGGACUCUAUGGAUGAAGGGGUAAUUCUACAAGAAGUGGUUAAAUUAUCUAUUGCUGCUAAAGUAAAUGAAAAAUAGGAUUUGGAUCCUAUUCUGAUGUAGAUUAAAGAUGAUGUGGGACAACAAAAGGUUAUGGCCUUUGAGAUUGGUGGUGAAGGUAUUUGUGGUAUUAAGGUAGGUUGUGUGUUCUUGAUGUUGAUAGGCUGGGAAAGAGAAUUUUAACCGAGUACAAUUUAUCCAGGUUUGACCAAGAUGUAUCGUGACUUGAAGGACAUUUAUUGGCUGAACAACAUGAAAAGGGAUGUGACUAACUUAGUGGCUAGUGUAUGGGCUGCUAGAAAGUGGAAGUAGAACACUUGAGGCCUGGUAUUAUGUCUCAAGAGAUCGAGUUACCCAUAUGGAAGUGGGAGAUAAUGAAUAUGGAUUUCGUUAUAGGUCUUCCACACUCUCGCCACCAGUAUGAUUUGAUUUGGGUUAUUAUGGAUAAGAUUACUAAGUCUUCUCACUUCUUGCCUAUGAAAACUAUCUACGCUGGAGAAGAUUAUGAGUAAUUGUUCAUUAAGAAGAUAGUUAUAUUGCAUGGUGCUUAUGUUUCCAUUAUUUUAUAUCGAGGUAUGCAAUUUUAUUCUCGCUUUCAACAUUCAUUUCAGAAAGGUUUGGGGACUAAGGAGAACCUUAGCAUCGCUUUGCACCCUUUAACGGAUGGAUAAACAGAGAGGACUAUUUAGAAAUUAGAGAAUAUGGUAAGGGACUAUAUGAUCAACUUUAAGGGAAGUUGGGUGGAUCACUUACCUCUAAAUUGAGUUUGUGUGUAAUAACAGUUAUCACUCUAGUAUUGGGAUGGCUCCUUUUGAAUCUCUUUAUGGUAGGAGGUAUAGGUCUCCUAUUGGGUAGUUUGAGGUUGGGGAGACUAGGGUUUUUGGUCCUAACUUGGUUCACCAAGCCACAGAGAAUGUGAAGAUAAUUAGGAAAAGACUUAAGAUUGUACAAAGUCACCAAAAAUCUUAUGAGGAUGUAAGGCAAAGAGAGUUGGAGUUCGAUGUAGGUGAUUGGGUGUUUUUAAAAGUUUCCCCUAUGAAGGGAGUGAUGAAGUUUGGAAAGAAUGGGAAGCUCAGUUCCCAUUAUGUUGGUUCGUAUCAAAUUUUGAGAAGAGUUAGAAAUAUUACUUAUGAGUUAGAUUCGCUCGUGAGUCUGGGUUCUAUUAAUUUAAUUUUCCAUGUGUCGAUGUUGAAAAAGUAUGUAAGUGAUCCUUCUUGGAUUGUACCUAUUGAGAGUGUUCGUAUUUUGGAUUACUUGUCAUAUAAUGAAGUUUUGGUGGAGUUAUUAGAUAGAUAAGUUUAUCGAUUAAGGAUUAAGAAUGUGGCUUUGGUAAAAGUUCUUCGGAGAAAUCAAAAGGUGGAGGAUGCUACUUGGGGAGCUAAAAAGGAUAUGAAAUCUAAGUACCCAUUUUUAUUCUCUGGAUUAGAUGAUCAUGGAUAAGGUAUGCGCUUCUCUUAUUCUAAUCUCUUUUUGAUUUUUGUUCAUAGUUUUGUAACUGCUUUCUAUUUUGUAUUUGUGUGAAAGGGUGCCUUAACUCCUCAUUCAUGGAUGAAUAAUCCUAGGCGGAGUAAUUUAAUGCCCCAGGAUUUGGACUCUCAAAAUAUCUGGGUUUGGUCAUCACUGUCCAGGGUAUGACUUAAGUGAUGAGUCAUGAAGACUCAUCAUGAGUUGUAUAGAGCUAGUCGUGGUGUAACCAGUAAGGUUUCUAUAAGUAUCUUGAUGGUCACGAUUGGAAUCAUAUGAGUCAUAAUGUCACAAGUUAUGGUGAGGGACUCAUUACCUUAACAGUGAGAUGGCCCAAUGUUGCUGUCACGGCAACGACUAGAAUCUACGAGUCGUAGGGUGUAGUCACGAGUCAUAGGGUGUGUUCAUGAGUCGUAGGGUGGGAAUAGUGAGCAAACCAGCAAGGAGGCUCUGAGUUUCUGCCCAGGCUACGAGUCUUGGUAAUGACUCGUGAUCAGUGACCAUGAGUCGUGAUGUGACCCGUAGUCACUGGCGAUAGUUUUUCAGCAUUUUAAUUAGGGACAAUUUGGACAUUUUCUUUCAUCCUCAAUCAAAACCCAUGACCAUAAAGCACCCUAAGGGUCUCUUUCUUAUUAUUUUAACAAGUCAAAUACACUCUCUUCUCUCUCAAAUUCUCAAGUCAAGAACAAAACUAGGGUUUGCAAGGGUUGGUCACCUAGGGCUGAAAGUGUCGUUUCUUCUCCGAAUUUUUGGUGUUUUCAGGCAUGUAUCUCCUUUUUUAAACUUGUAUUUUUAUCUUGGCAUGAAAUGGUUUGGUUUUCAUAUGAUUUUAAUGCUUGGUUUUGGAAUUUGGGUUGAGGGUUUUGGAUGAUUAUUGUUUAAAUGGUAUUCCCAUGGUUUACAUGUAUUUGUUCAUGCUUUGUUAGUGGAUUUCAAAACUCAUUGGGUGCAUGGGUAUGAAUAAUGGAAUAGGGGUCAUGGAUUCCCACAAAUUUGAUAGAUUUUUCUAUUGAAAUUGGUAAUAACCUCAACCCACCUUAUGAAAUUGGCUUGAAACAUGGCUAUAUUCAUAUUUUAACCACUUUUGAAAGUAUUGCAUUUCAUUAAAUGGAUAAUGGAAUUAAAAUAGUUUCGAAGGGACUUAGUUGCCAUGGAUUGAUUUUAAAUUGGAACUUUGGAGUCUUAUGGCUAAUUGGUUUGGCAUAAUGGAAUUGACUUGUAAGCAUAAUAUGAUAAUAAGUUUCGGUAAAUGCCUAAAGGGUGACUCCUUGGUUAAAUACAUGAGUUAUGUGUAAAUAUUUUAAUUUGGACUUAAAAGGGGUUAUGUAGCUCACUACGGAAGGUGGAGGUCUCGGAGGUGUGGGGGCGUUGGUGUCCGUAUUCAUAAUUCAUACUUUAUAUAUAUAUAUAUAUAUAUAUAUAUAUAUAUAUCAGGUGUGGGGGGGGCCUUGGUGAUCGUGUGCAUAGUUUGCAAUUUAUAUAUACAUUUUGGAAUAGCUGGGGUCUUGGAUUCCCUGGCCCUUUCUCGAAUUUCUCCGAUUUGUGCGGCUAGCAUGCACUAGGGAUCUUCUAGUGGGGAGAGCUAGACCAUAUAGCCUUUGGGUGUUUUUAGGACGGUUAGAUCUACACAGUCUCGGUUAAUGGUUUUAAAUCUCAUGCUAAACCUUGUUCCCUAUCACAUCAUCUUAUAUAUAUGUAUGUAUACAUGGAUGUGAACAUGUACAAUGAGUUUGGACUUGAUUUUAAAUGUCAUUAUUUUAUCCCUUAUCCUAAGUUAUAUGCUAGCACUCACCCCUUUAACCAUCCUAGGAUGCUACUUUAUUUCAUAAUGUAGGGUCCAAUGACACUUUUUUUACCCCUGUGCUGCGUUAGGUAAUGCAAUUCAUCGGUUGGUUUGCGGUGAAGUGGUGAUCUUCCAUCCUCCUAAAAGCGUAGUCAUUCGAUCAGUUUCUUUCCAUAUUUUAAAAUUGAAGAAUUUACAUUAACAUUAAUAGUUUCAUUAUUACUAUUAUGGUCGGGGGCAUGUCUCGAUGUAGUUUGAUAUUUGGAUGCGUUUAGACGCUUUUAUGGACAUGUGUGAGUUGGAUGGUGUUGUUGAGUCUUAGGGGUCGCUUGGUAGAGUGUAUAAGAACAAUGCAGAAUAUAAUGUAUUAGUAAUGCUUACAUUAGUAAUGCUUGUAUUAGUUAUGCUUGUAUUAGUUGUGUUGAUGUUGUUUCUUAUACAUUGUUUGGUUUGAUGUAUUAGAAAUAAUAUGUCUCACAUAAUUUCUAUAAAAGAAAUGUUUGUUUACAAAAGUAUCCUUCUUUGACUUUGUACAAUUUUUUCGCAACAAAGUUCUUUUGCCAUCUCAAAUAUAACUAGUAUUAUCGAACUAGUAUAUAGAAGGUUAGGAUUAAUUGCAAGGCCUUCGUCAUUGUGCAUGAAAUGUUAUGACGAUGGAUUAAUAUAGUCGAAACAAAAAUAAAAUACAAGAUGUUAAAUUAAGGAAUAGCCUCAAGAAUUUUUUUAAAUCUUUUUAAAGACCCUCGAUGCAAAGCAAAAAUAUGUUGGAGUUAUUUAAACCAACUAUUCAUUGUUGUAAAUUAAAAUGGGGGAAAAAGUAAUUGUGAAAUGUUUUGAGAAAAUUCACUUUUACAAAUUAAAAUGGUUGGAAAAGAAUUUGUGAAAUAUUUUGAUAGGGAAAUUAAGAGGUAUUAAGGCCAUUUAAUAAGUUAAUGCAUGUGUUCAAUGUCUUUGUAUUACUAAUACAUAGGAAAUGGUGUGUAUUACUAACACACACCUCAAUACACAACAGUGUGUAUAACUAAUGCUUGCAUUAGUUAUACAUAGGCAAGAAGAUGUACCAAACAAGGUACUAGUAGUACACAUUAAUUAAUGCAUGCAUUAUAUUUUUCAAUACACUCUACCAAAUGACCCCUUAGAGUUUAUUCUUGAGUUACAUUAACUGUUUUAUCUUUAUUCUCUAGUUGUCUUCCUCUUUGUUAUUAUUUGGAUUUUUAAAGGUUAAACAGGCUAUGGGGGUGGUCUUCGGUCCUCGGUGGACUUGAGAUACCCAUCACGACUAGUUUGGGUCGGGUCGUGACAGGAAUUUUCUCUCGUAAGGCCUACAAUAGUAUUUCAUAGAUUUAAACCCUAAUACCAACCCAUUUUCACUUGGUUUUUCUUCUAUGAGUUCUUUUGAUCAUAAAAAAUAUAUUUUUUGUAUAAAAGUUUUGGUUUUACCCUUCUUUUUUUACAAUUCCAUUUUAGGGGUUCGUAUUGACCCUAAUUCAAAAGUGGUUAAUAUGAGUAUCAAUAUCUAUCUUUUGACGCAUAUACUAUGUAUUUGUAUGUUUUAGUUGAUUUUAGGUCCAUUCGUGAGGGAUAAACUCUAGAUUGAAAGAUUUUUAGACUAGUUUUUGGCAUUUGAGAUAGGUUAUGGCUUAACUUUCUUCAGACUAGGUUGGGUAUUAAUGAUUUUUUCUUGCAAGUUACACUUAAUGAUUUCUGGAUUAUUGAUAAAUCCCAAGAUAUACCUCCACUCUGAAGAUGAUGUAAUUGCUAACAAAUAUAGUAACCUAACAAAGGUUGGGGUUGAGUCAUAAGGGAAUACGUGGAAUCGUGGCUCUCAACUGUUGUAAUCAACAGACAGAACUGGAAAAUUAAAUGAGGGGUAUUGAAUCACAAAAUCGAACAAGCGGUGAAUAUCAAAUUCGGUUGUAAUCAGUCAUAGGUGAACACUAAGAUUAUGUUAUCCCUGGCUUCUCAACUCUGCAGCCUUAUCGUGCUUUAUUGAAUUAACCAAUACCUUGCAUGUAGACUCGAUAAGUUAUGUACCAUCAAUAGUCUUUUGGAUGAGCUAAAAGAUUUCACCCUUUACCUUUUAUGUCUCCAGAUAUCACAUUACUAACCCUUAUCUUAAUCCCAGUUAACUAUAAUCUUUUGAAUCUCAAUUUAUUAGAUGAAAGCUAACCAUCUUACUUAAAUGAUACCUAGUAGCAUGGAUCGAUAGCUAAAUUCAAAUUACUAUUGUCAUUGUCUUUUUCUAGUCACUACUCCUCUUUUGGAGUAAGUGGUAAUAAUCUAUGUGGGAUCCUAGCAUUUGCAACUACUAAGAUAACUAUUAAAGGAAAGAUAAUACAAUGCAUGCAUAGGUAUCAACUUAGAACAACACUAGCACUUCCCCUACUUUGUUAAUCCUCCAGGUUUCCACAACCCUAGCUAAGGUUUUUUAGCUGCUAAUACUUAUGAAGUAAUGAACAACAUUCAUGAUUGAAAGCAUAAUAUGAAAUCACAAUAAUCACAAGUAGAAACCCAAAACUGUAACUAAAUUAUCAACUAAAAUCAAUAAAAAAGAAUCCAAGACCAAAAUUGAACCUCGGAAUCAAAAUUGUUUGUAAAUAUCAAGAGUGUGGCACUUCUACUAAAAAACACACAAGGGAUAUUUAUAGUACAUAAGGAAAUGAAACACCCCAAACUUUGGCCCUUACAAAAGUUUUUGAGCCUUGAACAUUUCAUACGACUACAUCAUACCACUCGUAUGGAGUAGAUACUGUUUGAAGUCCUUGGUAGUAUGUUGGUUAGUGUCACAUUGGGAAAGUACUUUUCAUGAUAUGAGAAUGCAUCAUACUAGUUGUAUGUUUAGGUAUGAGUAGUAAGGUCCAAAUCGUAUGAUGUCCAUGGUCUAGCCUAGAGGAUUCUGCUUAGAGUAUGAUUUGAGGGUUUAGUAUGGGUCUGGUUUAGGAUAAGGAGUCAUUUGAUGGACAGAAUAUGGUGUCCAACAUUCUAUCUAGGGUAUGAGUGGUGGGUAUCACUCAUAUGUUGUGUGCACGAGUUGGGGGGGUCGUACUCUCUUGCGCACGUUUCUUAGCUUUUAAGCUGAGGGUAUUAAAGACAUUUCCCACCCAAAACCCUUAAGAACCCACAUUUUAUAACACAUUGUAGCCUUUCAUAAUACACUUUGAAGGAUCAAAACACUCUCAAAAUCCUCUCUAAAUCCUCUAUUGAAUAUUGGGCUAGUAAGUAAUCAAACUAAUGGUUGUGUGCAUGUUUAAGAAUGUUUUAAAUUGGGAUUUAAAGUAGGAUAUGUAGCUGGUCCGUGAAAGUGGUGUCCGAAGGACUAACACUCGGAACCACGCUUGCCGAUGCUGGUAUCUAUAUGACUGGGAGAUUUGAGUCCCCCAAAUGAAUGUAUGAAUGAGAGGUUCAAGUCUCCCAUAUUGUAUGCAUUGGUGCUAUGUCACCUUGAUUAUGUCGGGAGGUUCGAGUCCCCCAUAAUGACAUACAGAUAUGAAUAUUCUCUGGUUCGUGCAGCUACACGCACUGGAGCCUUUCCAUCUAGGGGAAAGAUAGACGUAUGUAGCUGUGCGUGCCUUGUAUUGUGACAGUUAUGCUACAAGCCCAAUUAAUGUUUUCAAAGUUCAUGCUCAGCCUUGUUUUCUAUACCGGCAGGAUAUAUAUAUAUAUAUAUAUAUGUAUACAAGUGAUUAAAUAUGAUGAUUUGACUUAGUUUUAUUGAUGACAUUAUUUUAUUCCUCUAUCAGUACCUUCAGGCAACGUCAAAAUCAAAGCCAAAGUUAGCUUAUCCUUCAGCUUCUCAAAACUACUAUCAUAAGAAUCAAACCAUGAGAACUUUACCUUCUUCUAAGUUAACUUAGUGAACGGGCCAGCUAUAGUAAAAAAACUUUUCAAAAACCUCCUUUAGUAAUCAGCAAAACCCAAAAAGCUCCGAAUAUUGGUUGGAGUCAUGGUUCUAGGACACUUCUUAACCACUCCUCCCUUUUAUGGAUCCACCAUGAUCCCUUUACUAGAAAUGAUAUGACCUAGAACAGUGACAACAGUCAACUAAAAUUCACAUUUUGAAAACUUGGCAUACAACUACUGCUUUUUCAAGUUCUACAACACUAAAUAGAGGUGAUUGACAUAAUCCACCUCAUUCUUAGAGUAUACCAAAAUAUCGUCUAUGAACAGAAUGAUGAACACAUCCAAAAUUUGAUGAAAACCUUAUUUAUCACAUCCAUAAAUGCCGUUAGAGCAUUAGUCAAUCCAAAAGACAUAACCAGAAACUCAAAAUGCCCAUACCAGGUACGAAAAACAGUCUUAGGGAUAUCCUCCUCCCUAAUCUUUUACUGAUGAUACUCAAAUCAAAGAUCUAUUUGGAGAAAAACUUAGCACUCUGUAACUGAUCAAACAAAUCAUCUAUCCUUGGAAGAGGAUACUUAUUCUUUACGCUCACCUUAUUCAACUGCCAGUAAUCCACAAACAUUCGAUGGGAACUAUUCUUUUUAUGCAUGAACAACACUGGUACACCCCAUGGGGAUACAUUAGGACAUAUAAAACCUUUAUCCAAAAGAUCCUUUAAUUACUCCUUAAGCUUUUUCAACUCAACUGGAGCCAUUCUAUUGGAGGAAUAGAUAUUAGACUAGUGUCUGAAACAAGAUCAAUCCUAAACUCAAUUUCCCUAUCUGGAAGAACACCAGGAAGGUCAUCAGGGAUGACCUUAAGAAAUUCAUUCACCACCGAGAUGGAAUGCAAAGAAGGAGACUCCUCGUUAGAAUCUUUAACCUGGACUAGAUGAUAGAGAUACCCUUUGGAGAUUAAUCUCUAAGCUUUGAAAUAUGAUAUAAACCUCCCUUAGGAGCUAGGAAAUAACCCUUCCUCUCAUUUAAUGGUCUUUUACUCUUUGUCUUAGACUUGGUUAAUACGUUAUUUUUUGCUAUUUUUAGGGGCAUGUCCCGACAUAUUAUUGACUUCAAUUUUGUAGAGGCUUUCUAGAUUACUAUGGACUUGGGUGUGAUUUAGUAUAUUGUUUGGUGGAUUGACUUAGAUACCUUAUGAGUUGUUAUUAGACUUACUUUUCACUAUCUUUCUAUAUGUUUGGAACUCAUCCGAUACUUAUGGUUGAUAUAUUAGUUAGGUUAGGUGAAGGGGUAAUCUCCGGUCCACGUGGAACUUGUGAUACCCAUCACGGUCAGUCCCUGGUUUGGGUCAUGACGGGAAACCCUAAAAUCAAAGCCCAAACAAAAAAGGUCGGUGACCACUUGUAGCCUAGCCUUAUGCGCAUGUGGCACAUGCGGCUUAAGGCUGGGCACCUUUGGCCAUCACAUGUUCUCAGACAAAAAAUUCCUACAGCUCUGCUUUUGGGAUUUUGGACUCUUGACACAUGCUUUGCCCACAUGUGGUCCACAUGUUCUACACGCGAUCCGCAUGUUGACAUGGGUAGGUGUCAGAAGUUCUUUUUCAACUCUUUCACUAUCUGGACUCUCUGGAUCUUUAAUUCUAGCACUUACCUUAAUCUUAUACAGACUUCAUGUGCUAUAUGUGGUCCACAAGUAGACAUAGGUAAGUUCUAGGCCUUUUAACACUUGCUACCAAGCUUCACAUCUUCAACUUUAUCACAUGCAUUUGUCACGUACAAUCAAGAAAGUGUCACGAGUACCCAAGAUUGCUCACAUAAGUAGACAAAAGCACUAUAUUUUCACCUUUUUUAUGAACUUAGCAUCCAAACCUAGUUUUCUACAAAACAUACCCAAAACACAUCAUAUCUAAAAAAAACCCUAAGAAACUUGCAUAUUUUCAUAGUUUUAAGUGUCGAAAGUGCUAUAUUUCUAUAGCACAUCAACACCCUCAACUUAGAACAUUUGCAUGUCCUCAGGAAAGAAAACAUAACAAAACAAAACAAAACAAGACGCUUAACUAGGAGAUUCUAAGCUAUGCAAGAUAGUCAGUCAACACUUUAAGCUCAAGCACAAUACCUCCUCAUAUCUCACUUUUUAAAACAAAUUGUGUAUAAAUAUAAAGUACAACAAUGUGACAGAAUGAGAUCAAGGUAUGGCAUUACAUUAGCAACAGACAACCAUACAUAUAUAGAAAAGUUACACUACCCAAAACAAGCAAGAAAUUAGCAAUAUGACUCAAGUGCCCUCACAACAAAGAAGUCCCACUCACUUAUGUGAAAUAACGCAUGUCUAUGCAGGGACAUUCAAGAGACACUUAUACUCAGAAGAAAAGCUCUAAUCAAUGUGAAUGAAAUACCAUAGGUUUGCCUUAUUUUCUUUACCUUUACAUUUAGACAGUCAAGUUAGGAUCACUAUAGGACUUUUCUCUUCUUGUAAUGUGGGUUUGGGGGGCUGGAACGGUACAUAUGGAUAUCAAGUGACUAAGCCUCCUUGACACUACACUAACUUUGGGGUCAACUUAUUUGCCAACUUUCUUUUUAUUCCGCCCUUUUUAUUUUUAUUGCAUAUUUAGGUUGGCGGUGGUAUUUUAUUCGUUCUUUUUCACCUUUUCACAAAUAUAUACAUUUACACAGUUUUGAAACACAAUUUUGGAGGGGUAUCAUUUUUCUCAAAAAUCAAUCAAAAAUAUAACAACUGCCUUAAAUACUUCAGAAUCUCCUAAUUACCCAAAAGCAUAACACAAUAUGACACAGACUUUAAUCUAGACAUGCUGGUUCUACAAUCAUACCACGUCUGACAGGAAAGAAGCUCGAUAACAAAAACCUGUGACGGCAAUAGUAUACCCCACCCCCAACUAAAAACUGUGCAUUGUCCCUAAUGUGCUAAAAUAAUAUAAAAUAAAGGAAAUGAGGAAAUAUAUGAGAUGCACUAAGAUUUUAUGUACCUUGGGUUUCCUUUAAGAAGUACCUAAUUUAUUAUCGCAGCCCGACUCAGUUCCCUUGGCUACCUAGACGCCAAGGUCUAUCUCAACACAGAUUUUUACUUCCUCUAAGUUUCCCAUGUAGUGUUUCACUUACUGCUUGUUUACCUUGAAUGGAAUGCCACCAUCACACUUUAUUUCUAUAGCACCAUGUGAAAACACCUUAACCGCAGUGAAUGGUCCAGUCCACCUAGAUUUCAGUUUUCCAGUAAACAAGCAAAAUCUUGAAUUUUAUAACAAGACCAAAUCACAGAGUUCAAAUGCCCUUUUCUCAAUUUUCCUAUCAUGAUACAACUUCAUUAUUUCUUCUAUAUGACCGAUCUCUCGUAAGCAUGGAGUUGGAAUUCAUCCAACUCAUUCACCUUACUCAAAUUUAAGUUUGCUGCAUCACACCACUAAUAAUUUAGCCUUUACAAUGCUCAUAGUUCCUUAUGCUCAAGCUUAACCCUUAAAUGACAUGCCUUAUCGUAUACAAGAUAAUAUGGGAAGUCACCUAUGAGGGUUUUGUAGGGUAUUCGGUAGGCCCACAAUACAUCAUCUAAUUUUCUAGACCAGUCAGUCCUGUUGGCAUUCACAAUUUUUGCCACGAUGGACUUUAUUUCUCUAUUAGAGACUCAACUUUUACACUUGUCUAAGGAUGAUAAGGUGUUUCCACCUUAUGCCUUACACCAUAUCUAUUAAGCAGGGCUUUACACAAGCGGUUGCAGAAGUGAGACCCACUAUUACUGAUAAAUUCAUGUGGAGUGCCAAAUUGAUAAAAGAUAUUUUUUCUCAAAAAAGAGGUGACACUUCUGCCUUCAUUUUCUAGAAGUGCAACUGCCUCCACCCAUUUUGACAUAUAGUCAACCGCUACCAGAAUGUAUCUUUUGCCAUAGGAGCUCACAAAUGGGCCCAUGAAAUCAAUCCCUCAUAAAUCAAACAACUUUAAAUAUAGAAUAGGUGUCAUGGGGAGUUCAUGGACCGUGAAGUGUUUCCUUGACACUAACAUUGGUCACAGGCUUGCGCGAAAUCAUGAGCAUCUGUAACACCCUGUAUUUUUUAGCUACAAAUUGAACCAUUGUUCCUACAUGUGGAAACUCUAAUCCCAUGAUUUGGAUAUUAAUAUAUAUGUCAUGAUCAUUAUCUUAGUAUAUAAAGUGCUAUCAAGGUGAAAAAUAUUCAUGGAAAUCACUUAGAGCAAAAUUGAGCUAGGAGCCUUUGAUUAAGCCAAAAUUUGAUGUUCGAACCAACAAGGGUCAACUUUAAACGUGUAUAAAUUUUUACAUAUGUAGAAUUUUGCAUCUCAAGAUCCACCAAACUAUAGAUAAUUUAACUAACUUUCCAAUGAUACCAAUUUCGCCUUAAUCCGAUACCCUAACAAAAAGUUAUGACCAUGCUAAGGCCGUGUGAGUUGCAUAGCAAUUGGAAAUAGCCACUGGAUAAGGUGUGCUAUUGGCGCAUGCCGUACAACCCUCAGGUGUGAUAUUGGCAUGCACCACAUAAUCCUCAAGUGUGCUAUUAGCAUGCACCACAUAACCCCCAAGUGUGCUAUUGGUGUGCGCCGUACAACUCUCAAGUGUGCUAUUGGCGUGCGCUACAUAAAUCUUUAGUGUGCUCUUGGUAUGCGCCUCACAACCCUCAGGUGUGCUAUUGGUGCGCGCCGCACUGCAAAAGAAUAGUGCCUAAAAUUUCUCCAUUUUGACUUAAUUUAAGGGCAUUGAGGUCUUUUCACACUCAAUCAUUAUCAAUUGAAUUAAGGGGUUUUGAAACAUGUUAAUUCCCCUCUCUUAGCCCUAAACAUUUAGUACACGACUUAAAAACCGUUCCCCUCUUCCCAAUAACUAAAUUCAAAUUUUAUCUCUCAAGAACUCAAUGAUUCAAUUUCCAAUUUCAAGUUUCCUUUAAAAAUUCAUCAAAUUGAGGUAUGUGGGGUAUUCAUAAAUGGGUCCCUUUCUCCCGUUGAGCCCAAUAAUACUCUUUUUGGUUUAAAGUAUAAAUUUUAUCCUAUUUUAUGAAAUUAUCCAUGCAAGUUAUGAACUAAAUCCCUGUAUUUCUUAGUAAUUUCAAUUCAAGCCAUGUCAACAAUUGUUCCCAUGUAAACUAAUUUAUUUCAUGCCUCAAAUUUCAAUUACUCAUGCUCUAUUCAAGUGAUUCCUUGUCAACUCUUCAAGUAAUGAAUUAAAUCAUGUGAAUAUGUUGUUUUCUCAAGUUUAACUCAUUCCCAUGUCCAAGUUCAUGUAUUUCACUCAAUUAUUGAAAUGUCUUAUUUCUUGGGUCUUUCAACUAUGAUUUUAUACCAUUGGUUUAAGCGUUGUUUACGUAUUUUAUGAUCAUUCAAUGCUGAAGGGUUAUAAACACCCGAUACCUAUCUAUUUAUACAUGUCUUUGUUAUCAAGUUACAAGUUAGAUAGGUUAUGAUUUUUAUUACUAUAUUCAGACUACCAUGUUCAUGUUGAGCACUUAUUAGUAAAAUACCAUGUCAUAUUAAACCAUUAAUAACACCAGUGUCAUUCAAUUAGGAGCAAGAUUUAGUAACGAGAAACCCUAAGGAUGGGACUCACUCUCUAGUUAGGACUGGGUCCUUAGUAACAGUCCCUAUGUUUUGGAACUACAAUAUAGGAUUAUGAGGUGUCACCUACCAGUUUAGGACUGACAUUCUCUUAGGGGUCAUCCGUCAGUUUAGGACUAACUCCUUAGUCCCUCGGGACAUCAGACUUGUGGAUCCACAUCGUCAUUCAUGUGUUAGUACCCAUGGCUAGGUACUGACACCCUUCAAACUGAGGUUAUAUCUUGGGCCUUGAUUUGCUCAGAUUAGGGCAUAUCUGUUACUUGAUAAAUUCCACAGUUCCAGUUAGCAACCAGUCUAUUUCAGUUUAGGUUUUCUUGACCAAAUAAUCAAAUUUCAGUAAUUAUUCGGCCAGUUUUAUAGAUUAUUUAUGUUAUUGAGAUCAUGUCAGUGCACGCUAUACUUGGUCUUGCAUUCUAAGUUUUACAUGUUCAUAUUUUCAUGCUCAUUAUUCAGUUUAGUUUUACAACAUGUUUAGCUUUACAUGAGAUUUACAUACAAUAUUCAUAUUUCUACCGCUUCCAGUUUACAGAAUAGUUUUCAGCUCAUGACUUAUAAAUUUAACUAUGACUUACCAUUUUCAUGUAUAAACAUGUUUUAAAUGUAUGUUUCAACAAAUAACUUAUAUCCUCAGUUUUAAAGCAUAUUUUAAAUAUUUCCAUGAUUUAGUGCAUGUCUCCAUAUACUAGUACAUUCCAACAUACUGAUCGUACAUAUGAGUUUGUGGCUACAUCCUUCAUAAUAUAGGUACCUGAUGUAGCUCAUACACCAGGGUCAGAUAGUUCUUAGUUUUCAGCCAGCAGGUGAUGAGUUCUCCUACUUUGGGAACUCCAGUCAGUUAUAGUUCAUUUACUAUGUUGUAUUUUGAUUAUUCAUAUGUAUUGAUUAGUGGUAGAUAAAGGCAUAUCCCAGCUAUCUACAAUCAGUAUAGUAGAGGCUUCAUAGAUAGUCAUUCAGAGUCAUUACAUGUAAUUCAAGUUUAUUUCUUCAAUUUUAUCAUGUUGUAAACUUUAUCAAUAUUACAUUUAUUAGACUUUCUAAUGAUUACGUUUCCGCUUUGAAAAUUUACCUUUUAUUUACAUUAUAAAUUAGUUGCUCAAGUAUCAUGCCAGUACAUGGGUUAGCUUGGGAUCACUUGUGUUUUAAGCACCGUGUUACAACUAAGGGUAGCUUCGGGCCGUGACAAUAUCCUUGUAAAUUGUAGUCCAGUAGAACCUACACUGUAGAAUUUUACGGGUUGUGUGUGUGCAACUAUGUUUACCCCUAACGGGUGAUGGGUGACAAGCUUCGAGAAUACUCAUCAUCUCUACCUCUGGGAUGUAUUUCCAAAUUUUACCAUCAGCACAAAUCCUAAAUAGAUAUGGCUCAUCCCAAAAGAACUUCCUCACGCUAUGCAUAAAUCUUCUUCGCUACUGGAAGGAUAUGUCUUCUAGGACAAGACCGCUUUCCAAAUAAUUGGCAAAAUUGGCAAACCAGAGAAUUAAAUCUUGAGAUACUGACAACACCCAAUCAUCUGUAAAAGUAUCAUCUAUCCCAAGAUAAUAUCCUUAUUUUUGCAUUGUCUCCUCCUCAAGUUUGGACAAGUGAUCUGCAACAUGGUCUUCUUUCUCUUUCGGUCCCUUACUUUAAAAUAAACUUUUAUAUUAAGAGAACCUAAUGAAUCAAUCUUGGUUUUGAAUCUUUCUUUGUCAUUAAGUAUCUCAUGGAUGCAUGGUCAGUGUGCACUAUGACCUUAGUCCCAAUCAAAUAAGACCAAAAUUUUUUGAAAGCAACAAACUACCGUAAGUAGCUCUUGCUCUGUAAUCGUAUAAAUUUUUUGUGCGGGGCUUAAAGCUUUGAUGGAAUAGUAGAUGGGAUGAAAGAUCUUUUCUCUCCUUUGGACUAGGACGUCACCCAAGUCCACUUCACUUGCAUCACACAUUACCUCAAAUGGUGUCGACCAUUCAGAAGACACAAUAAUGGGCGCCGAAUUUAACCGCUCUGUCAGGCAUUUAAGAGCCUUAAAAAAAGCAUCAUCAAACCAAAAUUUCACCUCUUUCUCUAAAAGCUUGCAUAGAGGAUUCAUAAUUUUAGAGAAGUCCUUGAUGAACCUCUUAUAAAAACUUGCAUGUCCCAAAAAGCUGCGUAUGCCUCUAACUGACACUAACGGAGCAAUUUCUCAAUUACCUCAAUCUUUAAUUUGUCCACCUCAAUACCAUAUUUGGAGAUCUUGUGACCUAGAAUGAUACCUUAUUUCACCAUGAAGUGACAUUUUUCCUAAUUUAGCACCAAAUUGCACUCUUCACAUCACUGUAGUGCACUGGCCAAAUGGGUCAAACAAUUAUUUAACGAGUCCCCAACCACUAAAAAGUCAUCCAUGAUUACGUCAAUCGUGUCCUCCACCAUAUCAGAGAAUAUGAACAUCAUACAUCUCUGAAAAGUAGUAGGCGCAUUGCAUAAUUCGAACAACAUUCUCUUGAAUGCAAAGGUCCCAUAGGGGAAAGUGAAGGUAGUCUUUUCUUGGUCUUCAGGGGCAAUCAUGAUUUGAUUGUAAGCCAAGUACCCAUUAAGAAAAUAAUACCAACCCCUGCCUACUACUCUAUCCAACAUCUGAUUCAUGAACGACAUUGGGAAAUGGUCCUUUUGUGUUCACUUAUUCAGCUUUCUCCAAUCCAUGUAGACUCUCCAAUUGGUCACUGGCCUUAUGGGUACUAAUUCAUUCUUUUCAUUUGGAACCACUACGAUUCCCCUUUAUUCAGCAUACAUUGAAUCGGGCUUACCAAAUUGCUAUCUGCAAUAGGAAAAACCACCCCAGUAUCUAACCACUUGAUUAUUUCCUUAACCACCCCUUGCAUAGGUGGGUUCAAUCACCUCUGAUGCUCAAUAUUGGAAAUGUUGUCCGGCUCAAGCUGAAUCUUGUGUGUACAUAUACCUGGUGGGAUCCCCACAAUGCCUGUAAUGGUUCACCCAAUAUUUCUCUUGAAUUUCUGCAAUAUUAAUGUCAAAGCUUCCACCUAUGCUCCUACCAAAUCUACCAUAAAUAAUCAUUGAUAAGGUAUUGUUGGCCCCUAAGAAUGCAUACGGAAAAUGGCAUUGGAGGUCCUUCAAUUCUAAUAUUGGUGGCUCCUCAUUGGAUGGUUUUCAAGAGGUGUGGUUCUAAUUUUCAAGUCAAGAUCCAUCUUCUUAAGGGCAUAUUUGUAAGAACCUAUGCCAUAUAAUGCAUUAGCCAACUCUUCAUAUUCAUCCAUCCCAUCACCCUCUAAGUUUAUAAUCACUAUUGUUAAUGCUUCUACCCCUAAUAUUUUCUUAAUAAGAACAUCCACUACAACCAUGUCAUCAUUCACAACGUCUAUCACUGCCACUACUCUCAUAUAAUCUAGAUGUUGUACUGUUAUGUAUAUGCUAAACACUAUUUGCUUAUUGUUCUAUUUGAAAGUGAUAUCCUCCAAGUCCAUAUCAAUCAACACCUAACCAGUGGACAAGAAGGGUCUACCCAAGAUAAUUCAGAGCUUGGGCAUCUACUUCACAGUCUAAAAUCAUGAAAUAUGUUAGAUAGGUGAAUGAUGUCACCGUUAUUUCUACGUCACGCAAAAUACCCACUGGCUUAUUUACAGAAAAAUCAACCAUCAAUAGUCUUAAAAAUCAGUGUUGAGUUCUUCUAAUCCCAGUACCUUGUAUGUCACUAAUGGCAUUACAUUUAUUCCUGCUCCCAAAAUCACAUAAUGCCAGAUUACUAUCAAAAGGCCUAAUAGAAUAUGGGAUGGUGACUGCAUCUGGGUCCCUCUUCUUUUCUACUGCUGGUGUAUGAGAAAUCAUGAUAAAAUAUUGCACUUUAUCUUUGGGGUCAUUUUUAACCCAAUCAUCACUGUAAUCACUUUAAAAAUCAUUAUCACUAUAAGUUAGCUUCUAAAACUCAGCUUCAGAUGGCUCAUCGGCAAUAAUAUUAUCCUUCUUCAGCUCAUUAGUAGUGGGCAAAUAAUGCUCAUCAGGUAGGGAGCUACUCAUUGUGUUAAUAGCUAGACAAUGAACAAGUGUUGAAGGAUUCUGUAUAGUAUCGCUAGGAAGGGCACCUGACUAUCUUUGAACCAAAGUGGCAGAGAUUUACCUAUAUUUAUACUCCAACUACUUGAUAGCAGUUGCAUAUGACUCAAACUUUUGGGUUAAUCCUAAAAUAUCAGGCUUGAGUUAUUUAAGGCAAGUUUCUUGGCUCUUUCAACCCUUCAUCAGCUUAGUCAACAUCUCUUCUAUUCUUGAUUACAUAUCUUGUCUACCAGCUGAAUGCAUUUUGCUUUAUCAUCAUAAUAGUUCCAACCUUUAUUUUCUUUCCCUUGGGCUCGAAAACCCGCUAAAUGACCAUCUAAAUACUUUUCCUCCUUCUCUAACUCAGACUCAUGAACCCUAUAGGUUGUACCCUGUGGCUCCACUGCAUUAACCUUUGCAAAAUUUAUUAUUGCACAUUGUUUGGCCGACUUAUGAAUAUCAGUACUUAAUAGUGAAAUCUACUGAGCUACAACAUCCUCAGUUACUCUUCGCUCACUGAAAGCUCUAAUGGAAUAAAUAUCUGAACCUCUCUCAACCUCCUGAGUUGCCACCCUCAGUUAGUUAAUGAGAUCUGAUCUAUAAUACUCGAAGUUAUCUCCCAUUGUAAUCUUAUAAAGGCCUCCUCCAGAGAUAGUGUUUGCCAUGGCUCUGAAACUGAUAGUCAAGGCUCUAUAGAAUAUCUCUAACAAGCUUUUCCCUGAAAUUCGAUGGUUGGACACCAUUCUAAGAUUCUUCUUGAAACUUAACCAUGCCUUAUACAUAUAUUCGGAUAACAACUUCUUGAAAUUAUAAAUCUCAUCUUUCAGCUGCAACACCCUGGAUAGAGGAAAGAACAUGUUCAAUAAUUGUCUGCGUAACUCAUUCCACGUAGUGAUAGAUGCUCUUGGAAGUUUCCCCAGCCAUAAAAAUACUUCUCUAGUAAGAGAGAAGGGAAACAGCCUUAAUUUAAGUGCCUCCUAAUUUACCUCAGGCAUGGUAUAUUAAGUGCAGAUCCUCAUAAAAUUUGCUAGAUGUAUGUUUACGUCAUCUGUAGGCAACCCUGAAAACACACCCUUUAAGUAUAAGAGUUGAAUUAUACCAUAGAGAUAUUAAACUUGACAUCAGGGAGCAAAAUAGGAGAAACAAUAUCUCCAGUCUCUAUCGGCUCUACGAAUCCCAGGUCUUCUUCUUAAUCUACAUAUGGUUGCACAUACUAAUAUAUUUGGGAUCACUUGAACAUGGCCACAUCUAGCUAUGUUUUGAUUUCCACUGAGUACUGCUCGACUAUCUGCUGUCUGUCUCAGCUCAACUAGCUCUGCCUCCCUAGCUAUCCACUUUGCUUCUUCUAUUGCUUUGCUCUCAUUAGUAGCUUGUGCUAAAAUCACCCCUACAUUAUCUUAAACUCCUUCGGGAGGAGGGGGCGGCAAAUCAUCAUGAACUUCUUCAAGAAUAUCAUAUCAUUUCUAUUCCAUAAUCCUACUAGGUAUUUGUAAGAUCCUCUCCAAAUAUAGAUUCAUUUGGGUAAUGUAUUACCUCUACUCUGUGUGUUAGGCAUACAUAGAUGUAUACCCAACUAACAAAAAAACAAAAACAAAAACUAAAAAACUACAACUUCAAUUCAUAGAUCAAUACCGUAUUCCCCGAUAACGACGUCAAAAUUUGGUGACGCCCAAGAUACAUCUCCACUCUAAAGAUGGUUUGGUAUCUAACUGAUAAAGUAACCCAAAAAAGGUUAGUGUCGAGUCCCAAGGGAAUAUGUUGAAUUGUGGCUCUCUGCUAUUGUAAUCAACGGGCAAAACUAGAAAAGUAAAUGGGGAGUUUUGAAUUGCAAUAUCAAAGAAAUGGUGAAUAUCAAUUUUGGUUGUAACACUCUUAGUAAAAACUAGGAUUGUGUUCCCCCUAUCUUCUCAACUCUGUAGGCUUAUCGUGCUUUAUUGAAUCAACCCGAUACCUUGCAUGCAGAAUCGAUAAGUUAUGUACCAUCAACUAUCUUUUGGACGAGCUGACAGAUUUCACCUUUUACUUUUUGUGUCUCAAGAUGUCGCAUUACUAACCCUUAUCUUGAUCCCAGUUAACUAUUACCUUUUGAGUCACUAGUUAUUAGACUAAAGCUAACCAUCUUACUUAGAUAAUACCUAGUAGUGUGGAUCGACAGCUAAACUUUAAAAUACUGUUGUCAUUAUCAUUUUUUAGUCACUAAUCCCAUUUUGGAGUAAGUAGCAAUAAUAUAGGUGGUAUCCUAAAGUUUAUAACCACUAAUAUAAAUGUUAAAGUGAAGAUAAUACAAUGCAUGCAUAGGUAUCAGUUCAGAACAAUAAUGACGCUUUCCUUACUUCAUCAAUCUGCCAGGGUUUCUACAACCCUAGCUAAGGGUUUUUAGCUUCUCAUGCCUGUGAAUUAAUCAACAACAUUCAUGAUUAAAAGCAUAAUAUGAAAUCACAAUAAUCACAAGUAAAUAUCUAAAAAUGUAACUGAAUUAAUCAACCAAAAUUAACACAAGAGAAUUCCAAGACCAAAAUCAAAUCUCGAAACCAAAAUAUGUUUGUAAGUAUCAAGAGUGUGUGACUUCUGCUAAAAAACACAUAAGGGGAAUUUAUAGUACAUGAGAAAACCCUAAAAUCAAAUCUCAAACAAUAAAGGACAAAAAAGGGUCAGUCACCACAUUGGUGUCCACAUGUGUCCUAGCCUUGGGCUUAUGUGUCACAUACGGCUUGAGGCUGAGUGCAUGCGUCCACUGCAUGUGCUCAGACAUAAAAAUCUUACAACUCUACUCUUGGGAUUUCGGACUUCUAACACAUGCUUUUCCCACAUGCAGUCCACAUGUGCUAUAUGUAGUCCGCAUGUUGACAUAGGUAGGUGUCAGAAGUUCUUUUUCAACUCUUUCACUCUCUGGAUCUUCAAUUCUAACACUUACCUUUAUAUUAUAUAGAACACAUAUACUACAGGCCUUUCAACACUUGCACCCAAGCUUCAAAUCUGUAACUUUCAUCACAUGCAUUAGUCACGUAUAAUCCAAAAAAUGUCAUGAAUACCCAAGAUUGCUCACAUAAGUAGCCAAAAACACCAGAUUUUUAUCCUUUUCACGAACUUAGCAUCCAAAACCUAGUUUCUUGUAAAGCAUAAAACACAUUAUAUUUAACAAAACAACCUAAGAAACUUGCAUAUUUUCAUAGUUUUUAGCGCCGAAAGUGCUAUAUUUCUAUAGCACAUCAAUUAUAUUGGAUCAUGAAUGGUUGGUUGAUUUGAGUGGAUUUUUGGAUCACUUGGUUGGUAUAUUGGUUGUAUAUUGGACAUUAAGAUUUUGGUUAGUUGUGAGCAUUACAUCCUCAUAUCAUAUUUAUUCAUGAAACAAUGGACCACUAUAGAUAUACAAGAAAUUCUGGCUUUUUUUGAUAGAAAAUUUGACAUUUUAAAAAAUCUCUACCAAUGUAUAUAUCGAAAAGGAGAUAUGAACAUUGGUAUUGGAUAUUGGUUGUACACGAGUUGACGAACCCCCCAUGGGUCUUAUGCAGGGAAGCUUUAGCUUCGUAGGUUUAUAUGGAGGUUGUGCGACAACCUUGAGCAUGACAUCAUCAUGAUCAUCAUCAUCAGCUUCAUUUCUCUUCAUUUACUGUGCUUAUGGUGUGAGUGUAUUUCUGUCUUUGACUUGAAUUUUAUUCACAUGUUCAUUUUUCCAAUACUUGUAUUUAAUGUACGUGUAUAUUUAUUCUUUUGUCCACUACAUGUAUUUGUUAUAUGUGUAUAUAUUAGAACUAUUAGUGGAGACAGUGUGGACUACCAUUUGGGACAUUUUCUAAUAGCAGCUGACGUGCCCAUAGUUUGUGUUUAUAUGCUUUAUUUUAUGUGUUGCUCAGUCGACCUAUGAUACAUACUGAGUAUAUGUGGAUUGUACACAUCCCUACUGCACCCUUCCAUACAGAUCCAGGUAUGUGUACACCGCACAGAUAGUUGAUUUAGGUAAUAUUUGGAGCCCAUUUGAGGUAGCGGUUGAUCUAUGCAUCCGGUGUUGACUUCUAUAUUUUCUUAUCUAGAAUAUGUCUUACUUGUAUUCAAAGACAAAUUUAUUUUCUUGUUUGUAUAUCUUAUGUAUUUCUUACCUUGAGUUGUACUAUUUAGUUUUUAUACUGUGAUACCGGGUUUUGGGAUUCAGUUGAUAUGUGGAUUUUAUUUUUGUUUUUACUAUAUACAUAUGGUUCAACUUUGUUCUAGAAAUCUUAGCUUGGUUUGGUAUUGAUUUCUAAUUUUAUAUCAGUUUGGGUGAUAAGCUUAUUUGUUAAGGCUUGUAGCGAUAAUUGCUAUCAUGACCCUUGAUUUUUGGAUCGUUAUAUUUAACUUCAAGGAAACUUCUCAUUCUCAACACUGGAUUGAAGCUAUGCAAGCAGAUGUAUAAGCUAUGGAGCAGAAUAAUACUUGGAUCCUAGUAGACUUACCCAUGGCAAACAACCUAUUGGUUCCAAAUGGGCGUGCAAGGUGAAUCACAAGGCCAAUAGGUGGAUAGAAAUAUACAAGGCUAGGUUAGUAUCUAAAGGCUAUACUCAACAAGAAGGACUGGAUUUUCAUGAAACAUUUUCCCAGUGGCUAAAAUAGUGAUUGUGAGAAUUGUAAUUGGUGUUGCUUCUUCUCAUAAUUGGCCAUAUUUAAGAUAUAUGCACAUAAUUCUUUUCUUCAAGGUGAUUUAGUUGAAUAUGUUAACAUGACCUUGCCUCAAGGUUUCCAGAGGCAGGGGGAGAACAGGGCCUGUAAAUUAGUUAAGUCCUUAUACGGACUUAAGCAAUCUUCUCGACAAUGGAAUCUUAAGUUAUCUAAAACCUUGGUUGCAGCAGAAUAUACACACAACCUUUGUGAUCAUUUCCUAUUCACCUAGGAGGAUGGAGAUAAUAUAGCUAUGGUUUUGAUCCUUGUGGAUGAUUCGCUCAUUAUAUGAAAUAGUAGAAGACUUAUUCAUGAAGUAAAGACUGCACUCCAUCAUAAUUUUCAUAUAAUGAACUUAGGAAAUCUCAAUUAUUUCCUAGGAAUAGAGGUGUUUAGAUCAAAGAAAAUAAUACUACUCAACCAGAGGAAGAAUGCCCUUGAACUCAUCACAAACACUGGCCUUAGUGGAGCUAAACCUGUUUAUGCUCCAUUGGAAAAAAAUAUAAAGCUAACAACAAUAGACUAUGAUGAGUUUUUUCAGUGAAAUCAAAUAAUCCCUUAUUCUAGGAUGUAAUGCAUAUCAAAGACUCAUCAAGAGGUUGUUGUAUUUUACCAUGACUAUGCCUGAUAUUAGCAUUUUUUCUCAAGAAUUAUCAAAGAUUAUGAUAAGGCCAAAGAUGUCACACUGGGAAAUAGCUUUGAGGCUUGUGAGGUAUAUUAAAGGAAGCCUAGGACAAGAAAUAUUGUUGAGUACUGGUGCAAGCUUAUAGUUGGAAGUAUUUUGUAAAUCAGAUUAGGUAGGAUGUCCUAACACUAGAAGAUUAUUAUCAGGGUAUGUUGUCAAGUUAGGGGGAUCUCUUAUUUUUUGGAAGUCAAGAAAACAACACACUGUAAGUAGAAGCUCAACUGAAGCUGAAUACAAAAGCGUGGACCAUUUGAGAGGUUAUUUGGUUUGCGGGAGUGUUAAAGGAGAUGAAUGUACGAGUGCAGGAACCAGUUAAGCUUCAUUAUGAUAACAAAGUAGCUUUACAAAUAAGUGCUAAUCCUAUUUUUAAGAACAAAACAUAUAAAAUUGAUUGUCAUUUUGUAAGAGAAAAAAUAAUGAAUGGAUUAAUUUAUCUUGAACAUAUCAGUACCAAAAAGAAAUUGGCCGAUUUUCAUACUAAAGAAUUAGGAUUUCCACAACAUCAUGUUCUUUUGAGCAAGCUAGGAGUGCUAGCUGUGUAUACAAACUCCAACUUGAGGGGGAGUAUUGAAGAUUAGUGUGUGCAAUGCUGUAUUUCAGAGAAAUAGUGACUUAGUUAGUUAGAGCAAUGCUCUAUUAGUGGUUAGUUACAACUGACAACUGGUACUAGCUAUCAGAUGGAGUUGUUUAUUAGGAGUAUUAGAGAGCUGGAAUUAUUAGCUAUAGAAGCAAGAGUUGUAGCUCAUUUGAGAACAUAUCAACAAGAAAACAAUUUGUUUUCUUCUCAUUUCCUCUUCUCUACUUCUACAUUCUCCAUUGUUAUUGAAUAUACUUGUAACAUCCAGUGCAAUCUCAAUGCUUAGACUAGUAAACUAGUUCUAUGCUACAACUUAUCAUAAGUACAAUAUAUAGUCUCUUUUGCCAAUUAAAUACAAUUUAUAACCUCUCUUCUAUAUUUUCUCUUUCUUCAUCUUCUAUUUCAUUUUUUUUCUUUUCCCAAAAUUUUCUUCUUUUUUCCUUUUCCUAUGUUUACUUUUCCAUCUUUUUUAUUUUUCAUUUCUUUUCCCUUUUCAUUUUUUCUCAUUUUUUUUUGCAUUUUCUUUUUUUUUCUUCUGUCUUUUUUUUUUUUUCUGUUUUUUCAUCUUUUUUUUUCUUUUUUUCAUUGUAGUCUUUUUUUAGUAUUUACUUUUUUCAUUUUUUAGUUCUAGUUUAGUUUUUUUUCUUUUCUCCCUUUUUUUCGUCUUUUUUUAUCUUCUUGUAUUUUCUUUUUUUCUCUCAUUUUUGUUGUUGUUGUUGUUGUUGUUUUACUUUAUAUUUAAUAUAUUUUUUAUAUUUUAUAUUUAUUUAUAUCAUAUUAUAUAUCUCACAUAAAUUUAUUAUUUAUAUUUAAACAGUUUAGCCAUGAAUAUGUACAAUUUAUUAUUUGUAUUUUUAUACAUACGAGUAUAUGUAUUAAUUGUCUUUGCUUGAAUCUAAAAUAUAUAAUAUGCAAUAUGUCAUUCAAUGUAAAUGCAUCAUUAAUAUUUUUAUGUCAAGUUUAUCAUUUAUAUUUUGUAGAUAAACAAGUAGUAUUUGUAUGCAUAUGGUUCAAAUUGUAUAAACAUAUAUAUACAAAUUUAAUGUUUGUAUUUGUAUAAUUUAAUAUUUGUAUUUGUAUAAUUUAUAUUAUUCAAUUAAAUAUAGUUCGUAUCAAUGAAUAUAUGUACAAGUGUUCGUAGAAAGAAAAAUACAAUUCUUUUUCAAUUUUUUAAAAGUACAAAUGAUGUUGUCAACUACAAAUUCAAAUAAAAACAAAUGAAACAAAUAAAAACAUAAAUACAAAUACAAUAUGUAGUCAACUUAUGAAUACAAAAUAAUUCUUAAAAAUACAAGUGCAUCCACAAAAACAUGAAUGUGUAAUUCAAUACAAAUGUAUUGUUAGUAUUUAUAUGUGAAGUUUAUCAUUUAUAUUUUGUAUAUGAACAAGUAUAAUUUGUAUUUGUAUGGUUCAAGUUGUAUAAACAUAUAUAAUUUGAUACAAAUUUAAUGUUUUAUUUUAUAAUUUAAUAUUUUUAUUUGUUUAAUUUGUAUUGCUCAAUUUGUAUUAAUAGAAUAUAAUUCGUAUCAAUGAAUAUAAGUACAAGUGUUCGGAGAAAGAAAAAUACAAUUCUUUUUUAAUUGUUUAAAAGUACAAAUGAUAUUGUCAACUACAAAUUCAAAUACAAAUAAAUGAAACAAAUAAUAUUACAAAUACAAAUACAAUAUGCGGUCAACUUAUAAAUGCAAAACACUUCUUAAAAAAUACAAGUGCAAUCGAAAAAAAUAGAAUACAAAUACAAAUAAAAUUAAAUCACAAAAUAUAAAUACAAUAUACAGUCAAUCAAUCAAUCAAUCAACAACAUACCAGAGUAUUCACACAUAGUGAGGUUUGGGAAGGGUAAAGUGUACGCAGACCAUACUACUAUCUUAGGUGAAGUAGGGAGGUUGUUUUCGAUAGACCUUCGGCUUAGGACAGAUAACAGUAUAACAAACACAAAACAUAAAUGCAUAUAAACUUGUACAGUAUGUAAAAUAAACUAACGUCACUAACCAUAAGAUAAUACUACAGUCACAAGAGAAUACUAAAAACUAUCUACCCAAAAUCAUAGACAUCACUCAAUACCAUGAACAAGACACAUCAAACACAAAUAAAGAACGCUUCCCUACUAUUACUGAUACACUCCCACCCCCUAACCAUCUACCCUAAUUCGCAUCCUCCAUACCUUUCUAUCAAAGGUCAUUUUCUCCUUAAGCUGUAAUUGCUCUAUAUCAUGCCUAGUCAUCUCCUUUCAAUAUUUCUUCGGCCUACCUCUACCCCACUUAAGACCAUCCAUAGCCGGUGUCUCAUACCUCCGCACUAAAGUAUCAGAGCCCCUCCUCAUCACGUGCCCAAACCAGCGUAACCCCACCCUCUUCGUUCUACCACCAGUUCCCUCGAUGCUUUCCAAAUCGACCUUUUGAGACACUUAACACCUCUCUAGCGAUCUCCCUAAUGCAAAUGGUAGUCGUCUCUCACAUAUUAUUCACAUCCCCUCUACUCUCCCAAGCCCCCCUACCCUUCAACUUCUCUCUUAUCUCCAUAACACUAGCCAGAGUUAAGCUACCCAACUUAAUCCUGGACUGAGCCUCUAUACCCCUUUUCUUUUUGCCCUUAUUAAUUACUAAGUCCAUCACUAACAACCUAUGUUUACUUGAAAGAUUCUCACUAGGUAUGACUUUACAGUCUUUACAUAGCGUUCUAUUACCCUUCCUAAGGAGAAAAAAGUCUAUCUGGGUCUUGGCUACUAUACGACGAAUAGUAAUAAGGUGAUCCUCCUUCUUUGGAAAACUCAAAUUUGUUAUCCAUAAUCUAAAAUCCCUAGAAAAAUCCAAAAGAGAAGCUCCUCCUUCAUUUAUCUCCCUAAAACUAAAAUCGCCAUGCACAUUAUCAUAACCUCUUAACAAAGACCCAUUAUGCCCAUUGAAAUAUCCUCUCAUGAAAACCUUCUCAGUGCUUGGGACACCCCUCACCACCUUAUCCAAAACCUCUCAAAAGUCCUUCUUCUCUUUCUUGUCCAAACCUACUUGCGGAGCGUAGACGCUAUUAAUGUUCAUCGUAGACCCUCCAAUGAGCAACUUAAUAGACAUCAACCUAUCAAUGACUCUCUUAAACUCCACUGCCUACUCCUUAAGUUCUUCAUCUACUGAGAUACCUACCCAAUUUCCAUGUCUCAUGCUACCCGAGUACCACAACUUAUAUCCAUCCACAUCUCUCGCCUUAGUGCCUACCCAUUUAGUUUCUUGCACACACGCUAUACUAACCCACCUAUUUCUAAGAAUCUUCACCGGCUCCAUAGACUUACCUUAAAGCAUCCCUAUAUUUCAGAACCCAACUCUCAACCUAGAAGCACCCUUAUCCCACCUAGCCCUACUCCCCUCUCCUCCACCCCCAAACUUAAACCUAGACCCGACCCAAAUCUAUGACAUGACCCUAGUCCACCAUCUAUCAUUCCAGCCACCACUCAAAAAGAUACGAUAGACGAAAAUGGAAAAAGAGAAGGAAAACAACACGACAAACAAAAGGAUACAGCUAAAACCAGCUAAAUAAGCAAACAAAAUACAAGUGCAAAUUGUAUAAAAUAUAAAUUAUGGUGCGAACUAUAAAAUAUAAAUGCAAGUGUGAACUGUAACAUAUAAAUGCAAGUACAAAAAAUUAUAAAAUACAAACAGAAAUACAAGCAUGGACUAUAAAAUGCAAAUGCAAAUAUAAUUGUAUCAACGAAUAGAAAAAAAUAUAAACGAUGGUACAAAUACAAUUAUAAUAAGUGAUUGUUGCACUUUCAUUAUCAUUCAUGGCUUGUGCUCGACAUAACCAUAUUUUCUGAAAAUGUAAAGAAUAUAAAAUAGAAUCAAACAAUGAGAAAGAAAAAAAGAAAACUAAAAAAGAAAAAUAGAUGCCAUAGAUAGAAGAGAGAAAGAAAAAAAGAAAAUCAAAAAGAAAGAAACCAAAAAAAUAAAAAUAGAAAAAAGACAAAAAUAGGGAAAAGGAAGAAGGGAAAAAAUAAAAAAAGAAACAAGGGAAAAACACAAAAAAGGAAAAAAUGAGAAAGAAACAAUACAAAAAAAAAAAGAAAAAAGAGAAAAGGAAAAAAAAGAAGAAAUAGAAAUAGAAGAAAGGAAAAAAAGAAAGAAUUGAAAAAUAAAAAAGAAAUAAAUGAUGGUGAAUACAAAUAAAAUGAACGUUUAUGAUGUUUCUGUCAUCAUCCAUGUCUUGUACUCGAUGUAGCCAUGUUUUUCGAGAAUACAAAAAAAAUAUAAAAUACAACAAAAAUUAAAUAUGAGAAAGAAAAAAACCCGAUAAAAAAAUUAAAAAGGAAAAAAGGAAAAAAAGAAAAAAGAGAGAAGUAGAAGCUAGAGAUAGAAGAGAGAUAAAAAAUGAAAGAAAAAAAAAGAAAUAGAGACUAGAUACAAGAGAGAAAAUAAAAAAAAAUAAUGAAAAAAGAAAAGAAAAGAAGAAAAAAGAGAAAGAGAUGGUAUGAAUUGUGAUUUUGAAAGUUAAGGCUAGAGACAUUCCCAUUUUGUUGAAACAUAGACUAUUUUCUAUAAGUGCCCUAAUAAAUAAGUUGGGAUACUAGGCUGUGAUGGAUCAAUGUAAGUAGACCCAAUUUCACCUCCAACACACCCUUCAAGCUGCAAGGCAUAACCAUCCAAUCUUGAUAAUUAAAAAGGAAAAAAUCCACAAAACCACAACUUAAUAUACUUAAAUUACUAAAAAUUCAUUCACUUGGUAAAAAUUAUAAAUAUCUCUCAUUUACGUUCACUCUCUUUAAAACUUCAGAUACAUAACUUCAACCCUAAAAAUUAGGAUAUAUUCACCCCCCCCCCCCCCCCAAAACAAAAAAUACCAAUUAAAUAUAGUUCGUAUCAAUGAAUAUAUGUACAAGUGUUCGUAGAAAGAAAAAUACAAUUCUUUUUCAAUUUUUUAAAAGUACAAAUGAUGUUGUCAACUACAAAUUCAAAUAAAAACAAAUGAAACAAAUAAAAACAUAAAUACAAAUACAAUAUGUAGUCAACUUAUGAAUACAAAAUAAUUCUUAAAAAUACAAGUGCAUCCACAAAAACAUGAAUGUGUAAUUCAAUACAAAUGUAUUGUUAGUAUUUAUAUGUGAAGUUUAUCAUUUAUAUUUUGUAUAUGAACAAGUAUAAUUUGUAUUUGUAUGGUUCAAGUUGUAUAAACAUAUAUAAUUUGAUACAAAUUUAAUGUUUUAUUUUAUAAUUUAAUAUUUUUAUUUGUUUAAUUUGUAUUGCUCAAUUUGUAUUAAUAGAAUAUAAUUCGUAUCAAUGAAUAUAAGUACAAGUGUUCGGAGAAAGAAAAAUACAAUUCUUUUUUAAUUGUUUAAAAGUACAAAUGAUAUUGUCAACUACAAAUUCAAAUACAAAUAAAUGAAACAAAUAAUAUUACAAAUACAAAUACAAUAUGCGGUCAACUUAUAAAUGCAAAACACUUCUUAAAAAAUACAAGUGCAAUCGAAAAAAAUAGAAUACAAAUACAAAUAAAAUUAAAUCACAAAAUAUAAAUACAAUAUACAGUCAAUCAAUCAAUCAAUCAACAACAUACCAGAGUAUUCACACAUAGUGAGGUUUGGGAAGGGUAAAGUGUACGCAGACCAUACUACUAUCUUAGGUGAAGUAGGGAGGUUGUUUUCGAUAGACCUUCGGCUUAGGACAGAUAACAGUAUAACAAACACAAAACAUAAAUGCAUAUAAACUUGUACAGUAUGUAAAAUAAACUAACGUCACUAACCAUAAGAUAAUACUACAGUCACAAGAGAAUACUAAAAACUAUCUACCCAAAAUCAUAGACAUCACUCAAUACCAUGAACAAGACACAUCAAACACAAAUAAAGAACGCUUCCCUACUAUUACUGAUACACUCCCACCCCCUAACCAUCUACCCUAAUUCGCAUCCUCCAUACCUUUCUAUCAAAGGUCAUUUUCUCCUUAAGCUGUAAUUGCUCUAUAUCAUGCCUAGUCAUCUCCUUUCAAUAUUUCUUCGGCCUACCUCUACCCCACUUAAGACCAUCCAUAGCCGGUGUCUCAUACCUCCGCACUAAAGUAUCAGAGCCCCUCCUCAUCACGUGCCCAAACCAGCGUAACCCCACCCUCUUCGUUCUACCACCAGUUCCCUCGAUGCUUUCCAAAUCGACCUUUUGAGACACUUAACACCUCUCUAGCGAUCUCCCUAAUGCAAAUGGUAGUCGUCUCUCACAUAUUAUUCACAUCCCCUCUACUCUCCCAAGCCCCCCUACCCUUCAACUUCUCUCUUAUCUCCAUAACACUAGCCAGAGUUAAGCUACCCAACUUAAUCCUGGACUGAGCCUCUAUACCCCUUUUCUUUUUGCCCUUAUUAAUUACUAAGUCCAUCACUAACAACCUAUGUUUACUUGAAAGAUUCUCACUAGGUAUGACUUUACAGUCUUUACAUAGCGUUCUAUUACCCUUCCUAAGGAGAAAAAAGUCUAUCUGGGUCUUGGCUACUAUACGACGAAUAGUAAUAAGGUGAUCCUCCUUCUUUGGAAAACUCAAAUUUGUUAUCCAUAAUCUAAAAUCCCUAGAAAAAUCCAAAAGAGAAGCUCCUCCUUCAUUUAUCUCCCUAAAACUAAAAUCGCCAUGCACAUUAUCAUAACCUCUUAACAAAGACCCAUUAUGCCCAUUGAAAUAUCCUCUCAUGAAAACCUUCUCAGUGCUUGGGACACCCCUCACCACCUUAUCCAAAACCUCUCAAAAGUCCUUCUUCUCUUUCUUGUCCAAACCUACUUGCGGAGCGUAGACGCUAUUAAUGUUCAUCGUAGACCCUCCAAUGAGCAACUUAAUAGACAUCAACCUAUCAAUGACUCUCUUAAACUCCACUGCCUACUCCUUAAGUUCUUCAUCUACUGAGAUACCUACCCAAUUUCCAUGUCUCAUGCUACCCGAGUACCACAACUUAUAUCCAUCCACAUCUCUCGCCUUAGUGCCUACCCAUUUAGUUUCUUGCACACACGCUAUACUAACCCACCUAUUUCUAAGAAUCUUCACCGGCUCCAUAGACUUACCUUAAAGCAUCCCUAUAUUUCAGAACCCAACUCUCAACCUAGAAGCACCCUUAUCCCACCUAGCCCUACUCCCCUCUCCUCCAACCCCAAACUUAAACCUAGACCCGACCCAAAUCUAUGACAUGACCCUAGUCCACCAUCUAUCAUUCCAGCCACCACUCAAAAAGAUACGAUAGACGAAAAUGGAAAAAGAGAAGGAAAACAACACGACAAACAAAAGGAUACAGCUAAAACCAGCUAAAUAAGCAAACAAAAUACAAGUGCAAAUUGUAUAAAAUAUAAAUUAUGGUGCGAACUAUAAAAUAUAAAUGCAAGUGUGAACUGUAACAUAUAAAUGCAAGUACAAAAAAUUAUAAAAUACAAACAGAAAUACAAGCAUGGACUAUAAAAUGCAAAUGCAAAUAUAAUUGUAUCAACGAAUAGAAAAAAAUAUAAACGAUGGUACAAAUACAAUUAUAAUAAGUGAUUGUUGCACUUUCAUUAUCAUUCAUGGCUUGUGCUCGACAUAACCAUAUUUUCUGAAAAUGUAAAGAAUAUAAAAUAGAAUCAAACAAUGAGAAAGAAAAAAAGAAAACUAAAAAAGAAAAAUAGAUGCCAUAGAUAGAAGAGAGAAAGAAAAAAAGAAAAUCAAAAAGAAAGAAACCAAAAAAAUAAAAAUAGAAAAAAGACAAAAAUAGGGAAAAGGAAGAAGGGAAAAAAUAAAAAAAGAAACAAGGGAAAAACACAAAAAAGGAAAAAAUGAGAAAGAAACAAUACAAAAAAAAAAAGAAAAAAGAGAAAAGGAAAAAAAAGAAGAAAUAGAAAUAGAAGAAAGGAAAAAAAGAAAGAAUUGAAAAAUAAAAAAGAAAUAAAUGAUGGUGAAUACAAAUAAAAUGAACGUUUAUGAUGUUUCUGUCAUCAUCCAUGUCUUGUACUCGAUGUAGCCAUGUUUUUCGAGAAUACAAAAAAAAUAUAAAAUACAACAAAAAUUAAAUAUGAGAAAGAAAAAAACCCGAUAAAAAAAUUAAAAAGGAAAAAAGGAAAAAAAGAAAAAAGAGAGAAGUAGAAGCUAGAGAUAGAAGAGAGAUAAAAAAUGAAAGAAAAAAAAAGAAAUAGAGACUAGAUACAAGAGAGAAAAUAAAAAAAAAUAAUGAAAAAAGAAAAGAAAAGAAGAAAAAAGAGAAAGAGAUGGUAUGAAUUGUGAUUUUGAAAGUUAAGGCUAGAGACAUUCCCAUUUUGUUGAAACAUAGACUAUUUUCUAUAAGUGCCCUAAUAAAUAAGUUGGGAUACUAGGCUGUGAUGGAUCAAUGUAAGUAGACCCAAUUUCACCUCCAACACACCCUUCAAGCUGCAAGGCAUAACCAUCCAAUCUUGAUAAUUAAAAAGGAAAAAAUCCACAAAACCACAACUUAAUAUACUUAAAUUACUAAAAAUUCAUUCACUUGGUAAAAAUUAUAAAUAUCUCUCAUUUACGUUCACUCUCUUUAAAACUUCAGAUACAUAACUUCAACCCUAAAAAUUAGGAUAUAUAAUCUUCUCCUCAUCAAUUUAAUACCAUUAAUGUCUAACUUCUUCCCCCUUCAAAUUAUUUUUCAGAAAACUUUCUCUUCCCUACCCUUCCACCUUCUCUCUCUCCCUCUAUCUUUCUGCCCUCUCUAUCUCUCCCCUUCUCCAUAGUUCACACUUCUUUCUCCUCCUAAACGUUUUUAAUAGUUCUUUUAUUAUUUUUUUCUUGUAUAAAUGUAUAUAAGUUUUAUUUUUUUCUUCUAUGUCAACCUCAAAUAAUGUCAAGGAUUUCAUUAUUUAUUUCUUCUAUUUCAACUUCAAACAAUGUCAAGGAUUUCAUUACUUUUUCUUCUACUUCUAUGACGAGGACAUUGAUAGCAUCAUUUGAACUUUAGAAUGUCGAUAAAUUGCUAUACAAACAAAACAAAUAAAAAAAUCACCAACUUAUCAAUUUAAAAAGAUAGAACAAUUUAUUUUAAGAAGAAAAGUCUUUUCACACAUACAUAUACACACAAAUAAAAAACAAUAACAUCGACAACAAAGUAUGAACUUUAGAAAGUCGAUAACCAAAUCAUGUACUGAAGAUAAAUAAUAUAUCUCAGUUCUCAUGUCUCUUAUAUUUAUGUUUUUUAUAGAGAAAAGUAUAAUGUAAUGUAUUUACACUGAGGUACAUAAUUAUGUACUCGAUAUACAUAAUAUAUCUUAGUUCUCAUAUGUUGUAUCUCUUAUAUUUAUGCUUUUAUUGAAAAUAAUAUAAUUUAAUGUAUUUACACUGAAAUACAUAAUUAUGUACUGAAUAUACAUAAUAUAUCUUAAUAUUUCUUAGUUCUCAUAUCUCUUAUAUUUAUUUUUUUUAUAGAAAAAAGUAUAAUGUAAUUUAUUUACAGUGAAAUACAUAAUUAUGUACUGAAGAUACAUAAUAUAUCUUAGUUCUCAUAUGUUGUAUCACUUAUAUUUAUGUUUUUAUUGAAAAAGGUAUAAUGUAAUGUAUUUACACUGAGAUACGUCAUUAUGUAUUGAAGAUACAUAAUAUAUCUUAAUAUAUCUUAGUUCUCAUAUCUCUUAUAUUUAUAUUUUUUUAUAGAAAAAAGUAUAAUGUAAUGUGUUUACAAUGAGAUAUGUAAUUAUGUACUGUAGAUACAUACUAUAGUUCUCAUAUGUUGUAUCUUUUAUAGCUAUGUUUUAAGUGAAAAAAGUAUAAUGUAAUGUAAUUAUACUGAGAUACAUAAUUAUGUACCGAAGAUACAUAACAUAUCUUAAUUCUCUAUGUCUGAUACAGAUGCAUAUUUUGAAUCUCUUAUAUUUAUAUAUUUAUUGAAAAAAGUAUAAUGUAAUAUAUUUACACUAAGAUACAUAAAUAACAAAUAUAACAAAUGAAAUUAAAUAUUAGUAAUGUAUCUUAGGUAUUAAUGAGGUUAUGUAUCUCUACAGUUACAUACAAAAUGAUGUUCAACAAAUAUUUUUAUCCUAGAUGCAUAUGUUAGAUGAGUAUUAUACCACCAAUUCUAGUUAUGUGUCAAAUGUGUCUUCUCAUUUAUAAAAAGUAUCUCUAAUAUAACAUGUAUCUACUGUUAUAUUGAAUUGAUUAAUAUAAAUGGCAGUUGUUGUCUUGUACAAAAAUAAUGGCUAGUAAUUGAAUAAUUCAUAGUAUUAGUUGAUUAAGUUACAUUGCUAGACAUAAAUUUUAAUGUUGAAAAAAAUAUGUAUCCGAUAACACGAAAAAGAUAAUCUAAAUGUCAUUAUAUUAAAAAAAAUUAUUCAACAAAGAUUCAUCAUUACAAUUAAAAUUAUGUAUUAUAUACAUAAUAUGGAGACUGACAUAUUAUACAUUAAUAACAUCAUUACAGAAUUAUUGUAGUUAUAUAUAUAUAUACAAUUUAAAUAUAAAAAUUUUGUACAACAAAUAUGUAACAAACAUGUAAUAUGUUAUUUUCAAUUAUGUCCACACUAAAAUUAGAUUUGAUAUCUUCAAUUAUGUUGAUUGGUGUGUCUAUUCUCUUAUGAUUGACUACUUUCGAAGCCGUAAAAUCGCUAACGAAUAAAAUCAUAGGUUGAACUUGGGUGAAUAUUUUAUAUUUCAAGGACAUGUGUGUACAUCAUGAAAUACCCUUACUUUAAAGAGUUUCGAACUAUUUGGACAUGACGCCUUAAAAAUUCAACUACAAUCCUCCAAAAAAUAUUUUAGGACAUAAAUACAAAACACACACAACCAUAUUGAAAUCAAUAUAUUUAUUAACAAAUGUGUCACUAAUUAAUAAACACAAAAUAAUUAUUUAUGAGAUGCAACAUUAAUUUACACUAUUCACUUUAACACUUAAAGUAUCUCACAAUUUUUGUCCUAUACAUAAACUAAAUUAUGUAUCUCACUCUUCACUAGCCAAUCUAUUAUGCAUCUCGAUCAAAUAUAUUCAUAAAUUUUGCCCGAUACAUAAACUAAAUUAUGUAUCUCAGUAUGGUCUUGCCAAUGUAAUAUGUAUAUAGAUCAAAUCUAUUCGUAAAUAGAUCUAUCUCAGCAAUUAAAAAUUUUGUAUCUCUACCUCAAGAAUAUGCAACACGUGAGAUACAUAAUUUAUGAAGUAACAGUAACAUCGUCUUUACCUCAAAUUAAAAAUAUUUUCUAUUUUCGUUGAAAUAUAACUGAUUAUGUAUUUUUGGAUAUUUUUUAUUGUUUAUUAAAGGUUACGAAGAGUGAUUUACUCCUCAUUAAAUACAAUAUCCGUUAUUUUCUUUUUUAGCGCCGCAAAUCAGUUUCUUAUUACGUAUCAGAUGUUAUGUAUCUCUUGUAUCAAAAUGUAUCUGGAGAACGGAAAAAAUGAAAUUUCCUGUAAUUUUUUAAAAAAUUUUGAUAGGGUGUAAUUAGGAGAAAACAUCAAGGGAUUUAUGUAAGCUUUACAAUCAAAAUCUUGUACCCAAUACUUAAGUCAUUAAUAGUAAAAUAAAUGUCUCUUAUGACUUAAGAUCUGAAUCAUUUAUUUGCACUUAAUAGAGAUCUUAAUUUAAAUGAUUCAUGAUUCAGAUCUUAAGUCAUAAGAGACAUUUAUUUACAUUGAGAUUUACACACCUAUUUAAUUUGAAUAGGUCUUAACAAUUAAUAUCUUCAAAGUUUUAAUCAUUAAAAGGUAUUUUAUAUAAUAAUUUUUCCCACCAUUCUAUUCACAUUCACUAGCCAUCAUCUCUAACUACUCUAUUUUUUACCCUCCAAAUAUAGAGAAUAUCUAUAUUAGAAGAACACCAACUCCAAUCUACAACUAUAUUUUACACACUAAAAGAAUCUUCUUCUCUCUCUUUAAUAUUAUAUUAUUAUUAUUUUUAUUUCAUUUAUAUUUUUUUAUUUCAUAAGUUAAAUAUCUAAUUAAAUUGUUCUCUCUAAAUAAAAAUCUCAUAAAUAGCUUGUAUCAGAUCUUUUGUGUACUAAUUUAAUUACUCAUUUCACACGUACUUGAUUUUUGUGAUGAUCAUAUUUAUUGCACAACUAUAAUAGAACUAACUUAUAUCUUAAAUAAAAAUAUUAAAUAUGAAAAUUAGUUAAAUAAAAUUUAAAGUAAUAUAAUAAAGAUACUACAUUAGAAAAUAAUUACGUUUACAAAUAUUAAGGACUUAAUUUAUGGUCUUAUAUAAUUUAUAAACUGUUAAUUUUAAAAUGUUAUAUAAUAUAAAUAAUAAUAUAAUAGUGAAAAAGUACAAUAGAGGAGAUGAGUGGUGCAUCUCCAAAUAUGGAGAAACACUAUUCACCCAUCCAAAUAUAGAAUUUAGAGUAUGAUUUAGAGGGUGGUUGGAGUUGGUGUUCUAUAUUUUCUUUCCCCAAAAAUAGAGUUUAGCGUGUAAUAUAAAGUGUGGUUGGAGAUGCCCAGCAAUCUGUCAUCAUAACCACAACCAUCAUGUUCAACCAUUACUAUCUCACCAACCACCUGCCAUUAUCUCCAACCAUUACUAUCAAUUGCUACCAUAUCUACCACUUCUAUCAUUAUAAUAAUAACUAUAAUCACUAUUACAACUAUCACUUUUGCCAUCAUUAUCAAUGUGGUCAAUUCCUGCUACAAAUUUGUAAUAACCCUCAUUGUGAUUUUUAGUUUUUUCUAUAUUUUGACUAUUUUAUCCUUUUCAUAGGUGCUAUAUAUUAUUUAUGAGUUGUUGGCAUGGUUGAAUAGUUUUGAAGCAUUCAAGAGUGAUUUGAGUGAACAUGAAGUUUUGAGUAGCCUUAAAGGUGAUUAGUUUGAGUUUGGAUAAUAUUUUGUGAUCCGAGCAUUGAAUGAUGAUUUUGUCAGUUCCAUUAGAUUUGAAAUAUCAUUAUUGGAUUAGUAGCAUGGUUAAAUUGCAUUUCGAGUUUUUAUUUUAAGUAUUGAGCCUUUAAACAAGAAACUAGUUAAAUUAGCCUAAAAAAAUUCCAAAGAUUAACUUGUUGAUAACAACCUCUUCUAAUAAAUUUGAUAGUUUCAUUGAGUCUAAAAAGUCAAAAUUAGCCUAGUAGCACUAUUCGUUUAAUUCUAUAGGAUCCGAAAUGAAUUUUGAGGGUCUAUUCGGAGUAACUGAAAAAGUUGUUGUUAUGUGACCAGAAGGUCACGAAUUAAAGAAUUAAAAAUAGUCCCUUGCAUAAAUGUAAGGUGAGGUUGCAUACAACACAUCCUUGUGGUCAAACCCUUCCAUGGAGCCUGUACACAAUGAGAGCUUAAUGCAUUGGGUUGUCCCAUUUUUUAUUCAGAGGAUUUUAGAUCAUUUCCUAGUUGGUUCGAUAAAAUCUGGUGCAACAUCAAUCUUUUCAUUGUGAUUGCAUGGACUUGUAUCACUAUUAUAGAGCUUGAAUAGUUUACUCUUUGCAAUCGCGGGGUGGAUCAUCACGAUUGCAAAUAGUUAUGUGGUGGAUUGGGUCGGGUUUUCAUUACGGCUGCUAGGCUUAGCUUUGGGGUCCUGAUGAUCAAUUUAGUGUCUAUCACACUUUGUCCCUCGCUAUUGAAUUGAGGGUGCUGCAAUAAUGAGGUACAGUUCAUAGAACAAUAUAAAUAUUCAAUUUUCUUGAUUUUAGCUCAUCUUCACCAUUUUGAGCUUGAAGAACAUGAUUUUAUGAGAUUUUAAAGGGGUUUUUCAUCAACUUGGUUUUGUGUAAUCUUCUAAAACUACUUUUAAUCAUUUAUCUUUGAUUAAAUCCUAUUUUUAUCUUCAAAACUUUAACUUUACACUUGAAAUUUUGGGAUUUUACCCGAUAAAGUGAGAAACUAAAUUUUUAUUGAUUUCAAUCUUGAUUUCAAAUUAUUUUUUGAUGGUUUUUUUACUUAGAAUCUUCAAUGUAUAAAAACCUGAUUUUUUAAUAAAAAUUUCAAUUUUACCCUUUUUAAUUUUGAAGUCUAUUUUCAAACUAUUUUUUGACCCAAAAUGAAAGUAGCUAAUAUGAGUAUCGUUAGACUCCUUUGGAUAUGUAGAUUACGAUUUCUUAUAAAUGGGUUCAUUUUGUGACUCCAAUAAAAGUAAAAGCUCCUUGUUGAAGGGUCCAAGCUCGUAUUGCGACUUUUUGAGGUAGGUUAUGACUUAACUUUCUUCACAUUAGACUGGAUAUUUAAUCAUUCAUGUAGAGUACUCUAUGGAUUGGAAAUCUUAUCAUAUGAAUCAUUUUGAGAUUAUUAUUUUUAUUAUGUUGACCGUGUGGAGGCUUAUGUGAUCAUUAUUGUUGCAUUACAAGAUUAUUAUUACUAUAAUGCCCAUGCAGGGGAUGGCAUUUAUCUCUUUUGAUCGUUAUUUGCUUUUAUUAUUAUUGUGAUAUUCGAGUGGGUCCUUGGAUUGAUAUUAUGGAUAUCUUACAUCAACUUUAGUAUGGUGUUGUCAUGCGAUGACUUAUAUCAUGAUCUAUUGAGAUUUGAACUCAUUUAUAUCAUUAUUGAGUCGAUUCAUUUCAUAAAAUUAAUUUAAUUAUGAGCAUACAUCCUCAAUUAAUUUAUUUAUAUUCAAGAAGUUGGUACCAUUGAGAAACACUAAUUUUGAGAAAAAUGAGACAAUUUAUAAAAUAUAUUGUCUGAAGGAUGUACCGGGAAGAUUGAUUGACGAGAUUCUGAUAGUAUAUGAGUUGUGGACCCCUCAUAGGUCCUGUCCUGGAAGAUUAUGCUCGAAAGGUGUAUAUGAGUUGAUGUUGUGACGUUCCAUCUUAUCAUACCAUUGCAUUUCAUCAUUUGCAUUUCUCUUGUGUAUUGUUAACAUGUAAUUUAGUCUUCCUUAUAUAUAUAUAUAUGUGUGUUCGUGUGUAGGUACUUGUAUACUAUUAUUGUAGUUGUAUUAUUUAUACUAUUAGGAGAUAUGAUGAGCCGUUAUUUGGAACUUUUCUGUAUGCAGGUGGAAGAGUGCUC